UUUAUUUUUAGGUUUAGCUGGAGAAGAGAAACGAAUCAAUGACAGAUAAAUCUCGUAGGAGAAUGCCAUGCGAAUCAUGACAAACAGAUGAAUAUCCCUAAUCCCAACUGUAUCACAACAUGAAAGCCACGUGGAAAAAAGUCUCUUUUCUCUUAUUAACCAUGCACGCCCUAGCUUGACCAACCACUGUGGCCACUGAUUGGACACUAUGGCCACAGGUUGAUUAGGUUUCAUCAUUAGCUUCCACAUCUCACUUCCCACCCCCUCUUCCAAAACUACUUAUAAUAAUCACUACACAAUCGAUAUCCAAUACAACUCCUAAUCGCCAAGCCAACCCUAGCCCUGUUGUGAAUUAUGCUCUCAUCAAAAGUUGGUAAUGAGGAUAUCACGAGAGAGGCACAAUUCAUUCCAAUAAAAAUAAUGAAGAUGACCAAUGGAGAACCAGCCAUAUGGUGGACCGAAGCAGAAGUUACAAAGAUGAACUUCAUGGAGAAUCUGCAAUAUGCAUAGUAGGUAAAUUCUCUCAUGGUUGGCCAUUAUUGGAAGAAAUGUUGUCACAAAAGUCUAUUUGUGACUUAAUUUUAAUUAAGCUUUGAUUAAACAGUUUAGUCCUCUAUGUUUUAAUUAGUUAAGUCCUGUAUUUACUUUUCAGUGCCUGUAGUCAGUUAGUUUAAUUACUAUUGAGUCCUUAGUUCUGUUAUUAGACAGGGACAAGUGUCAGCUAAUAAUGUAAGAUUCCACCCUAUAUUUGUUAGCAUUUUUAAUGAGAAGGCAUAUGCCAUUUUGACUCAAUUUCUCUCUUCCUCUCUUUUCCUUUCUCUUCUAUUUCCUAACAACUAGUAGCAAGAACAUUACUCAGAGCCAGGUUUAGCUCUGCCUCUACCAUCCGGCUUCUUCAUCGGAGUUCAAAGCUCUACAGGACGACGUAAGGGUCGUUCGUGGCCAGCUCACAGUUUUCAUGGAUAAUGUGAGCAAGCGAUUUGAGAUGAUGGAGAUGAUCAGUACCACUUUCAGAGUCAGCUCAUUAAGAUUCGUGAAACUAACAUGAAAUUGGAGCUAAUUAUUUUGAAUUUGGGACUAACCACAGUAUCAUCCUCUCAGAUUUCAACCUCAGUCGACUCAUCUCCGCAAGCCACACCAGAAGGACAUCUUGGGCCACAGAGCAAAACGGAGGCAGGCCCAUCGUCCGGCUCAAAAUCUCCAAUAGGAACAUCUCAAUCUCUGUAUACUUCAUCUAUAUUCGAAGUUGGGCGGGGAAAUCCUCCAGCUCCUCUAUUCUCGAGUUCCCUUUUGUUUCGAAACCUCAUCUGCUCGUCACUACCACUGCUUUCCACUCCUUCUAACCCCACCGUUCUUGCCUCCGAAAAUGCUACCAACAAUAAAAUAACCCUGAAACCAAAAAUCAACUUCCCAAAUUUCGAUGUGGCUGACCCAAGAAGUUGGUUGAGGAAAUGUGAAAAGUUCUUCGAAUUGUACAAUAUACCUGAGCAUGAAAAGCUUAGUUAUGCCUUAGUACACUUAGGAGAAAAAGUAGAUGUUUGGUUUGAUAGUUAUAUGGUUAUUCACAGGGGCAGAGUGACUUGGCCAAAAUUUUGUGUGGAGCUUUGUAGAAGGUUUGGUAGUGUUUCACACGAUAUAGUGGAUGAAUUUAACAAGCUUGUUCAAACUGGGUCAGUAGAUCAAUAUCAUGAGAGGUUUGAAGAAUUGAUGAGCUAUAUGUCCAUCAUUAAUCCUUUGCUGAAUGAAGCUCACUUUGUAGUAAGCUAUAUUAGUGGUUUAAAAAUGGAAUUGAAACCCUUAGUGAAGUUAGCUAACCCCUCUACUGCUAUUGAUGCUUAUGAAACUGCCAAAUUGUAUGAAGACUUAUUCAAAGCCUUACUUCUCUUAAUACUAGUCAGACCUCAAUCGACCUUUACUCCAAACCUAUUAAUAAACCCCUAGACCAAUAAUCCACAACUUCAUACCAACAGACAAUUAAAUCAGCAAAACCAACAACCCCAGAGAAUCACUUACCUAACCAAAAGCCUCUAGUCAGGGCUCCAUUCAAACCAAACACCUUACUACCCAAUCUAGAAGCAUUAAGAGAACAAGGAUUGUGUUACUGAUACAAGAAAAGAUAUGUCUCAGGACACCAAUGCAAACAAAGAACUCUGAAUGUUGUAAAAAGGGUUGAAGUAGAACCAGAAGGGGAACCAAUUGAAGAAUUUGUGGAUGUGCCUGACACAUUGAAAGAAGGGGAAAAACAGGUUGAGAGGUCACUAAAUGUACUUUUGGGAUUAAGCUCUUCCAGUAGAACAAGUUUCACUAUUAAAAUUAUAGGCUAUACAUUUAAGGUACAAAUAACAGUGUUAAUUGAUAGUGGAUCAACCCAUUCCUUCAUUAAUCCAUAUAUUGUUAAGAUAUUGAGGCUACCAGUUUAACCCAUGAUCAAACCUAUGAGAGUAAUUGUGGCAAAUGGUCAGGUUAUGAGUUGUCAAUAUGAGAGCCUUUAUUUUAGAUGUAAAAUGCAAGAUGAGCAUUUCAAUCUCAACUGAUAUUGAUGAAAGUAGGUGGGUGUGACAUAAUUUUAGGGAUGGACUGGAUAGAUAUGGUUGCUCCUGCCAUUUUUCAUAUAAGACCCCAUAGUUUAAGCUUCAUGACUGAUGACAUAAUAAUUACCCUCUAUGGAAUGCCUGAAGAUUCAAUAGUAAUGCUGUUGAUAUUGAAGAACUUAAGAGAAUGCUACAAUGUGGCACUUUUGAAGUAAUGGUUGAACUCUAUACGGUUAAAGCUGAGGUUGUGCAACAAAAGAAAGCAACGGCACACCCAUUGCCAAGUUGCUGGAAGAUCAUGCCUAAGUAUUCCAAGAACUAUAAAACCUACCACAUAAGAGGAAUAUGAUCAUAUAAUCAACAUGGUUCCUGGUGCUCAACCCUUUGAUAUGAGGCCAUACAGGUACUCUUUUGAUUAGAGAAAUGCUAUUGACGCCAUAAUCAAAGAUAUGCUUAAAUAAACCACUGUUAUCACAAGCCAAUCCCCUUUUUCUUCCCUAUAUUAAUAGUUAAAAAGAAGGAUUCUACAUGGAAUUAUGUAUUGAUUACAGGAGAUUAAACAAUUUAACUAUUAAGAAUAAGUACCCUAUCCUUGUGGUAGAUGAUUUAUUAGAUGAGUUUUUUUGUAGCUAAUAUAUUUUCUAUGAUUGACCUGAGGGUAGGACUCCAUUAAAUGAGAAUGAAGAAAGGUGACAAAUAUAAAAUUGCAUUUAGAAACUACCAUGGGUAAUGGGAGUUCGGGAUUAUGCCUUUUGGGCUAACUAAUGCCCCAACAACCUUUAAAUCCCUAAUGAAUGAUGUCUUUAAGGAACAAUUGAGAAAACUCAUUUUAGUUUUCUUUGAUGAUAUAUAAGUAUACAACAAAACUACUGAAUAUCACAUAAUACACUUGAAGGUGGUGUUGAAAUUACUUUAACAAUAUCAUCUAUUUGUUAAUUGAGUAAAUAUGACUUUGUGCAGCUACAAAUUGAAUAUCUUGGCCACAUUAUUACUGGAUAUAGGAUGAGUACUGAUUAGUCCAAGAUUGUGGCAAUGGUAAAGUGUCCUAAGCCCAAAACAGUGAAAGAACUAAGAAGUUUCCUAGGACUGAUAGGGUAUUACAAAAAAUUUGUUCAAAGUUAUGCCCAAGUGAAUAAACCUUUGAAUAACUUGUUGAAGAAAAAAAAAUAUAAAUGGGAUCCUGAGGCUAACCAGAUAUUUGAUCAACUUAAAAUAGCUAUGACUAGUGCACCAGUAUUAGCUCUUCCUGAUUUCAACAAGACUUUUGUUUUGGAAGUAAAUGCUUGUAAUACUGGUGUGGGAGCUAUUUUGAUGCAAGGGAAGAGACCCAUUGUAUUCAUGAGCCAGACCCUGAGUAAAAGACACCAAGGGAUAUCUACUUAUAAAACAAAUUUAAUUGCCCUCCUUCAAGCUGUAGACAAAUGGAAACACUACCGCCAUCCCCAACACUUCACCAUUAAAACUUACUAUUUUAGUUUGAAGUUUUUGUAGGAACAAAAUAUCACUACACCAUUAUAACACAAAGGUCUGACCAAGCUAAUGGGAUUAAACUUUGAGAUAUAUUACAGAAAGGGAGUAGAGAACUUGGUUGCUGAUGCAUUAUCCAGGAAAGUAGAACAACAAACUAUAGAAGACACCAUACAAUAUAUGUUGAUUACUCAAAUACAACCAAAAUGAAUUAAAGAAAUAUUAGACAGUUAUGAUGGAGAUAAGGAAGUUUAACAAGCCAUGAUAGUCCUAAGCAACAACCUUGACCCUGGAUCCAUGGUUUCAUUACAACAAAGAGUCUUAACAUAAAAAAGGCUUGGAUGAGACAAAAUGGUUAGUUGAGACAAUAACUAAUACACACAAUCCACAAUUCUGGAAUUGGUGAUAACUCAGGAGUGUGGGCUACAUAUUAAAGGUUAAAAGCAGUGUUUUACUACCCUUCUAUGCUUAACCAAGUGAAGGUAGUAGUUCAAGAAUAUGAUAUUUAUCAAAGGUUCAAGGAUGAAUAAGUGGUUUAUCCAGGGUUGCUUCAUCUAUUACCAAUUCCUAAAAGGGUGUGGGAGCAUAUCUCAAUGAAUUUGAUUGAGAGUUCACCAAAAUCAAAAGGGAAAGACACUAUUCUAGUGAUCAUUGACAGAUAUAGUAAGUAUGGCUAUUUUACGGCACUAUCCCACCCUUUUACAAUAUCUCAAGUAGCUUAACUAUUUUUGGAUCUUGUCUAUAAGUUACACGAAUUACUAAAAAUCAUUGUUACUGACAGGGAUAAGAUAUUCUUAAGCAAUUUUUGGAAGGGAUUAUUCAAGCUCUUACAAGUUCAGUAAUUAUAUAGUUUUUCAUACCAUCCACAAACUGAUAGACAAACUGAGAGGUUGAAUAGAUGUUUAGAUACUUAUUUGUGAUGUAUGACAAGGUAUAAACCUCAUGAAUGGAGCAAGUGUUAUCUCUAGCAGAAUUUUGGUACAACAACAACUACCACACCUCACUUAAGAUGUCCCCUUUAGUAAUUUAUGGGUAUGAACCUCUAUUGUUCUCUUUUGAGUUACUAGCACUGACAAAGGUUGAUGCUAUUGAUCAAAAUCUAAAGGAGAGGUAAGUUAUGGCUAAGUUACUAAAGGAAAACUUGGAGAAGGCUCAAAACAGGAUGAAGAUGUAUGCUGAUAAGAUGAGAAUUGAAAGGGAGUUUAAUGAAGGUGAUUGGAUGUUUUUGAAGCUACCACCCUAUAGGCAUACCUCUAUUGCUAUGAGGAAGAGUUUGUGUUAUGACCCAAACCCGGGCCUGACUGUGACGGAUAUCUCAAGCCCAUUAUGGGCCGGAGAAAACCCCCUUAGCCUUACCUCAAGAGCAUAUAAAUAUAUACAGUGGAAGUCAACUAAUAUAGUAAUGAGAAUAAAUAACUCAAAUGACAAUUUUAAAUAUCCAAACAAACAAACAACCUAUACUUGUCCACAAAAGCCUCUAAAACCAGAAAUACCAACUAAGUCGGGACAUGCCCCCGACAAUGACCAAAAAGGAUCCAAAGAAAAUAUCAAAAUAGUAAUGAAACUAGUGAAAUGACUAGGCCUUUCUGUCAUGACCCAAACCAGGGCCUUGUCGUGAUGGGUAUCUCAAGCCUACCAUGCUCAGGAGACCACCCCCUCAGCCUAACAAUUGAAACACAAUAAAUGAAUACAUUGGAAACCAACCGAAUAUAAUGAUAAGAUGAAUAGAUAACUUGAAUGAAAACUAAGAGUCAAAACAACAACCAAUCUACAUUUAUCCACAGAAGCCUCUAAAACCAGAAUGUCGAACUAAGUCCGGACUUACCCCCGACUAUUAAAAAAGAAAAUCCAAAAUAUGAAAAAAAAACUUAUAAAAUGGCAGGGCUUUCUUAAAGAUGGAGGAUCACCACUUCAUAGCAACUCAACCAACGAACCACACCACCUAACUCUACACAAGAGUAACAAAAAAAAUCCUAGGACCCUACAUUAUGAAAUAAUACAGCAUCCAGAGACAGUCAGUGGGAUAAGCACUGACAUGUAACUCAGGAAAAGUAAUAAUGCCAAAAACCAAUCAAAACCAUAUGUACAAUAUUCAUAUAUACAUAUUGUCAUGACCCGAACUGGGACCCUGACCGUGACGAGCAUUCCAAACCAUGAAGGCCCGAAAUACCCUUAUCUAUCUGGUAAUCAUGCAUAUAAUUCGUAUGAUAAAAGAAAUACGAAAGAUUCACAAUACUACAAAAACAUAGUCAUGAGUCCAAUGAAAUUAAUAAUGGAAAAUAAUGUCCCACAACAUCUAUCGACAUCUGAAAAUCGUCUGCGAAAUCUCUACUACAUGACUAAAACAAACAACUGUUUGAAAAAUGGAACAAGGCCCCCAGUAGACCCAAAACUAUUAAAUGAUAAAUAAACUGCUAGACAUCAGGCCUUUCAAAAUAUAGAAGGCUCACCACUUGUCUCUGCAAAACUAUCUGAAGAAUCUACUGAUUUUCUGGACCCCUAGACUGUGCCUCCGAACCUGGGAGAGAAGGGGGUCAAUACAAAGUACUAGUACGCAGAGUAAUCCAAAACAAAGUAGAGAUUUUUAUAUAAAAUAAAUGAGAGCUGAUAUAAAGCACAUUAUUGCAAAAUGAUUUUGAAAAUACAUUAUACAUAUGGUUUUGAUUUUUCAACAAAAAUGCAACACAUUUGAGCUAGGUGGUAUACCCUACAAUUUCAUAUUUACACCAACUGUCAAAUUUUGGUUGCCGUCGAGAUUAGAGUAUAAGUGAGGGAAAGACACACAAGAUCACACAGCAGGGUGUCUCGACCCAAUCGAUUAUGGUAGUGCACAAGAUCACAAAGCAGGGCUCCUAACUAUAGUCCCAAUUUGGGAUGACAUAAUAUCAGGUACACAAGAUCACAUAGCAGGGUACCAAGUUCCCGAGUCGGCAAACAUGGUUUUCAGUAUAGAGUCAUUUGACUUGUGCUUUCUUUGGGUAACCACCUAUCUCACAAAAUUAAUGCAUUAAACUCAUUUUAAUCAAUCACAUGUCAUACUCUGCAGGGUAUCGUCAUACACGACUUGCAAGUCAUCAAUAUCACAUCAACUUUCCAUCUUUUCAUACCAUUUGCAACAUGCACAUAUGUAUGACUUUCACACCAUUAAACACAUACACCAUGAUUCUCAACAUGCAAUCAUUCAAGAAGUUAAAUCAUUUAUGAGUAAUGUCAUAUCAAUUGCAAAGCUCAUGCUCUCAAUGGUUCAACACAAGUGUAAUAUGGGGUAUAAACAUUAUCAUGGGGAAUUUAGAAAAUUCACAGCUCGUAUACAUCGUACCCUUUCAAAAUUUUAGGUCAAGGGUUCACAAUUCAACCAUCUAAAUACAUUCAAACAAACAACCCUAUGAUAUCUCAAUAUUUCUUUCAAAAUCAUAUAUCAAAACAUGUUAUUUGUAUCAAUUGACCCCUAUUUGUAAAAACAUAUAUAUAUACUUGUAUAAAUUUAAAAUAUUGCGUAAGUUCCUUUUUGAAAAUAUGCCCAUGAACUUUAGGAUAACACCACGUACCUCUAUUUACGAAAUUAGCGGGUACUUCUUGAAGCCUAUGAUCUGGGGAUUUUGAAUCUUCAAUAGAUUUUGAAAACCCACGGUUGCAUCUUGGGUUUCUUGAAGUUCUUGUUUGAAACCCUAAAGAGGAUUCUUGAUGAUUUUAAUGAAAAUCGGGUUAAGUUGCUCAAACAUACCCUAAAUCCUUUGUUUGGACGUUUUUAAAGGCUAGGGAAAAGUCAAAAUUACCCUUAAUGACUCCUGAAUGAAACUGGAAAUUUGAACUUACAAACCCAAUUUUGGGUACCAUCGCGAUGCGCCACAAUCGCGGUGGUCCACUGGAAUUCAACGAGUGGGAAAUUGGGUGCCUCCGCUAUGCGCCACCAUCGCAGAGCCCCACUAAAAUUUGACGAUUGUCAAUUUGACGCUCUCUGCGACGCGCUAGACCCCAAAAGGAUGAUGUAUACUACUGGAACUUUAAAUUAUUCAUAACUUCUUCAUCGAGGGUCCAUUUUUGACGAAUCUUAUAUUGUCGAAAAGCUAAUUCAGUCAUCUACGUAAUGAAAGGUUGAAAUCUAGGAAAUUCCACAUGAAAAAUAAUUUAGAUAAUUCUAGAAGCUAAUGCUUAGACUUUCUAUGGACGAACUUAGCUAUGAAGACGUCGGGGUGUUACAAUAUCCUCCUUUGGGAUCAUUCAUCCCCGAAUGAUAAUGGGGAACACAGACAAGCAUGAUUCCAAGCAUACUAAAGCAUAGAAAGAUUUGGCUAAGGGUUGUACCUUCAACUCUGCCAUCUACUGGGUCAAAAAGGUGUGAGUAUCUUGUUCUCAUGUCGUCUUCUGAUUCCCAAGUGGCUUCUUCAACCUUCUGAUUUCUCCACAACACCUUAAUUGAAACUAUUUCUUUGCUUCUUAACUUUCGGACCUGACGAUCUAAGAUUGCAAUAGGUUCCUUUUCAUAUGAUAAGGAGGAUCUCACCUUGAUCUCUUCUACAGGCAACACCAAAGAAUGGUCUUCAAUGCAUUUCUUCAACAUGGAUAUGUUAAAUACUGGAUGGAUAGAACCCAAACUGGCAGGCAAUUCUAACUUAUACGCAACACCACCUAUUCUCCUCAAAAUCUGAUAUGGUCCUAUAUAGCGAGGACUCAAGUUACCUUUCUUUUUGAAUCACAUAACUCCCUUCAUGGGAGAAACCUUCAGAAAUACCCAAUCUCCGACCUCAAACUCUAACUCUCUCCUCCUAACAUCGGUGUAGGAUUUCUGACGAAUCUGAGCUGUCUUAAGUUGUUCUCUAAUGAGCUUCACAUCUUUUAUUGCCUGAUGAACAAGAUCAGGCCCAAACAUUUGCAUCUUACCCACUUCAUACCACCCUAUUGGUGUCCUACAUCUUCUCCCAUACAAUGCCUCAAAUGGCACCAUCUUAAUACUGGAAUGGAAACUGUUAUUAUACGCGAACUCUAUCAAUGGCAAGUGAUCCACCCAACUACCUUUAAAAUCAAUCACGCAAGCCCUUAAUAUGUCCUCAAGGGUCUGGAUAGUGCGUUCUGCUUUCCCAUUCUUUUGAGGGUGAAAAGCAGUACUUAGGUUCACUUAGGUACCUAAACCUUUCUGAAAAGAUCUCCAAAACUGAGAAGAAAACUGCGUACCUCGGUCAGAUAUAAUGGACAUAGGUGCCCCAUGUAAAUGGACUAUUUCUGCGAUGAACAGCUUAGCAUAAUCCUCUCCUAAAUAGUUAGUCCUGACAAGAAAAAAAUGCAUUAACUUGGUCAGCCUAUCUACAAUUACCCAUAUAGAAUCAUAUUGGUUUCGGGACUUCGGAAGUCCUGUAAUGAAGUCCAUAUUUAUCAUCUCCCACUUUCAUAAAGGCAGAGCUAUCUUUUAGGAAGUACCUACUGGCCUCAAAUAUUCUACCUUCACUUGCUGACAGUUCAAACACUUGGAAACAAAAUCAGCUACAUCACGUUUCAUGUUAUUCCACCAAUACAAAGUUUUCCGAUUAUGGUACAUCUUAGUAGAGCCUGGGUGCAUAACAUACCUCGAAGUGUGUGCUUCAUCAAGGAUUCUUUCUCGCAGUCCAUCAAUAUUCGGGACUCACAACCUUUCUUGAUAUCUCAGAAUAGCAUCACCACCAAUUUCAAAUGACAUUACCUUUUGUUGACCCACAUCUUUCUUGAUUUGCAUCAAGAUGAGAUCUUCAACCUGCUUCUCUUUAACUUCAACACAAAGGGAUGACUUAGCUAUCUCAUAAACAAUCACCCCUCCAUCUUCAGAAUCUAAGAGUCACACUCCCAGAUUUGCAAGGCGGUGAAUAUCCUUCACCAUCUCUCUCUUCCCCUCUUCAACAUGAGAAAAGCUGCCCAUAGACAACCUACUGAGAGCGUCGACUACAAUAUUUGCCUUGCCAGGAUAGUAAUGCAGGCUCAUAUCAUAGUCUUUAAAAGUUUCAUCCAAUGCCUCUGCCUGAGGUUAAUUUUUUUUGCGAGAAAACAUACUGCAAGCUUUUGUGGUCAGUAUAAAUAUCAACAUGCACUCCAUAGAGAUAAUGCCUCCAGAUCCUAAGUGCAAACACCACGGCUGCUAACUCCAAGUUAUUAGUGGGGUAGUUUCGCUUAUGCACCUUUAACUGCCUAGAUGCAUAGGCUACCACCUUACCAUGUUACAUCAAUACACAACCAAUUCCCCCACUGAACGCAUCACAGUAUACCACAAAACCAUCUACACCUUUGGGAAGAGUCAAAACAACAGUAGUAGUCAGCUUUUCUUUCAACUUCUCAAAACUAUUUUCACACAAAUUAGACCAUACAAACUUUACCUUUUUCUGAGUCAAUUUAGUGAGAGGAGUAGCUAUGGAAAAAAAACUCUCUACGAACCUUCUGUAAUAACCUGCCAAACCCAAGAAGCUUUGAAUAUCGAUUGGAGUCAUGUGUCUGGGCUAUUUUCUCACUGCCUCAAUCUUUUGGGGAUCCACUCAAAUCCCGUCACUAGAUACAAUAUGCCCCAAGAAGGCAAUAGCAUUCAGCCAGAAUUCACAUUUGGAGAACUUAGCAUAUAACUGAUGAUCCUUAAGGGUCUGAAGGAUAAUUUGGAGGUGAUUAGUAUGGUCUUCCUCACUUUUGGAAUAGAUCAGAAUAUUGUCAAUAAACAUUAUGACGAACAAAUCUAGAAACUGACGGAACACCCUAUUCAUAAGAUCCAUGAAGGCUGCAGGGGCGUUAGUCAACCCAACGGACAUGACUAAGAACUCAUAGUGACCAUAUGGGGUUCGGAAGGCUAUUUUGGGAAGGUCUGACUCCCUAACCUUCAACUGAUGAUAGCCCAAACGAAGGUCUAUUUUUAAAAAAUACUUAGCACCCUGAAGCUGGUCAAAAAGAUCAUCAAUCCUAGGAAGAGGAUUUUUUUUUUAAUAGUGACCUUAUUCAACUGGCGGUAGUCUAUGCAUAUACGAAGGGAACCAUCCUUCUUUCGCAUGAAAAAUAUGGGUGCACCCCAUGGGGAAACACUAGGACGAAUAAAACCUUUGUCUAGGAGGUUUGCGAGUUGUUCUUUUAACUCUUUCAGUUCUGCGGAAGCCAUUCUAUAUGGCGGAAUGGAAAUAGGACGAGUGUCUGGCAAUACAUCAAUACCAAAAUCUAUCUCCCUAUCAAGUGGUAUCCCUGGGAGAUCUUUGGGAAAGACUUCUGGAAACUCAUUCACUACAGGGACUGACUAAGAGAAAGACUUUCAACCCUGGAAUCUUUUACUCGGAUUAGAUGGUACAUAUAACCUCUGGAGAUGAACUUUCGGCUCUAAGAUAAGAGAUAAAGUGACCUCUAGGUGCCACAAAAUUUCUUGCCCACUCAAUUGGUGACUUAUUCGGGAAAGAAAAAGUAACCUUUCGGGUUCUGCAAUCAAGUGUGGCAUAAUACGAAUGGAGCCAGUCCAUCCCAAGGAGAGCAUCAAAGUCUACCAUAUCAAGUUCUAUAAGGUCUGCCACAGUAUCCAGGCUAAGAAUAGACACAACACAAUUUUUAUGCACCCUUCUAGCAACAAAAGAAUCACCUACAAGAAUGGAAACAGUAAAGGGUUCUACAAUAACUUCAGGCUCAAACCCAAAACCAAUAGCUACAUAAGGGGUCAGAUAAGAUAAGGUAGACCCAGGAUCAAGCAAUACAUAAACAUUAUGGGAAAAGAUUCAUAACAUACCGGUGACAACAUCUGGUGAAGCUUUGGCCUCCUGGCGGUUAGUCAAAGCAUAUAACUGAUUAUGAUCGUUCCCGAUAGCUGAAGGAGCACCCUUAGGAGGAGGAGCCAUGGAGGCAGCUUGGGACUUAGCCCCCGCUCCCCCCGCAUUUCCUCCAGUAGAAGGGUAAUCUCUCUGAAGGUGACUCACCUUUCCACAAGAAUAACAAUUUCUCCCCUCUAAAUAACACUUCCCUGGGUGAUUCUUUCCGCAAGUCUCACACCGCGGAUAUGUACGACGCUGCUGGGCCACACUGCCCUGCGAUUGAGUAACUAGGGAUCUGGAUCCAUGGUGAGUCUGAAAACCCUGAGCUUGUCUAUCUGCUGGUGGUCUAGGCGCUAGGGCACUGGCAGAAGACUGUGCAUUACCCCAAUUCUUUUUGUUCUGCCAUUUAUUUUCCCAUUUAUCGCUUCGAGGCUGACUGUGACCCUGGUUGGCAGAUUUGGCUCUUUUUGCCUGUCUUUCCUUCUCCCUAGAUUCAGAAAUCUUCUUUUUCUUCUCCCCUACCUGUUGUAUGUGAACUGUCAACCUAGCAAAGUUCAACUCCUUAUUCAGCAUAGCUCCCUAACACUCAGCACCAGAUCAUCUGAAAGGCUAAAAUAAAACUUCCUCAUUUGGGCCUUCAUAUUACUCGUCAUCUCAGGAGCAUAACGGGCCAACUGAUUAAACUUUAAAGUAUACUCCUGAACACUUAUCUUACCCUACUUAAGGUUCAUGAAUUCCUCUACUUUAGCUUCCCUCAUCUCUAAAGGAAAAAAAUCGGUCAAGAAAAGCUUCCACAAAUUUAUCCCACACUGUGGGCUCAGCACUGUCACCCUUCACCUCUUCCCACUCAUUAUACCAUUGGUUUGCUAUAUCCUUUAGCUGAUAAGCCGCUAGCUCAACACCUUCUACCUGAUCCAUAUGCAUCACUCUGAAAAUCUUCUCCAUUUCGUCUAUGAACUCUUGCAGAUUCUCUUCUACUUUAGUGCCAGUAAACUUAGGUGGGUUCAUUCUCAUGCUUCAGAUGUAACAGGUGCAUACCCAACAUCUUUUGACCAUUGAGCCUGAUUAGCCACCAACUGUGUCAGCAUAUGAACAAAUUGUCUAAAUUCUGCGUUCGAAAGAUCCCUCUGAGUCGUCGGGGGACGGUUAACAUUGGUUCAUGGAGCCCAAGGUGGACUGGUUGGGACUGGAGGGUCUCCCAGAGUAGGGACAGGGUCUGGAGUGGGAGCUCUAUUACGUGUCCUCAUCCCAUGAGUGGGACAGACUUCAUCAUUCUGAGCACUCUGAUUAAUAUUGCAACGAGGAGGCAUGACUGUUAUUUCUCUAAGACAAAAGAUCACUGAUUAGGAACAGACUUGACUUUGAAGCACGGACUAAAUCACAAGGAAGGGAAACAUUUCCUAAACUCUUAGUAGCCUCCUGCUUAUAAGUGUGGCGCGCUACACACCCAUAACAGAACUUAGCUAAGAAGACAUCGGGGUGUUACACAUAUAUUGGAUUUUGGGAUAUGGAAAGGAUCAUAAACAUGGGAGUUUAAACUAUUAACCUCAACUGUGUAUCUCGCUCCGUCCUAAAGGCACCCACAAGCUCUAUGGAUUUAACUCCUCCUGCUAAAAGGUCCCUAGUGUAUGUUAGCUGCACGAACCGAGAAAAUCGAAGGAAAGGCUAAAGACACCAAGGCUCUAGCCAUUCCAAAAUAUAAUGUGUGAACCAAACACACAGUCAUAUAGACCCCCACAAUGGAAAACACGAUUUUCAUUGUUAGUCCCCCCAAGACUACACCUUCACGGUGAGCUACACAAUUUGCUUUAAGCCCAAAAUUAAAACAGUUUGCACGUAAUCCUAACCAUUAACCCAAGAGUCUUAUAUUAAGAAAUCUACCACUUGGUAUUGUCAUACCAAUUAUACUUAAAAGCUCAUAUAAUCAUGCUAAACCAAUCCAUGUAACCAUUAGACUCCCAAGUUCUAUUUGAAAAUCCAAACCAUGGUCACCAAGGGUCUUUCAAAUUGUUUUAUCCAUUAAGGUAAUGCAAUGGGUUCAUAAGAAAUUGAAUUAUGCAUUUAUCCAUGUUCAAAAACCAAAUUUACAAAGUGGAUUGGGGUUAAGGCCAUUACCAAGCCAAAAAAUCAUCAAUUUGGGGAAACCUACAUUCCCCGUACCAAUUCCCAUAACAAUGCACCCAUUUAUUCCAAAGAUCAUAAAUUAAAGCAUAAACGAUAAACUUAAAACAUGAAAAAAGUAAUUCAAGUGAUACCAAUCAAAACCAAUCAACCCAAUUUCAAACCUAUCAAUUCAAACCAUCUUGAUAAUGAAUAAAUAAAUGCCACAAUGAAAAGUUAAAUUUGGGGAAUGAGAUACAUGCUUGAAAUACAAAAGAAAUUGAAGACAAUUUGAUGUUUGGAGCCCUGAAUAGUGAUUUCUUGAAAAACCCUUAAGUUUUCUUGGGUUUUGAGUUUAAGAGAGAAUGAAUGGUAUUUUGGUCUUUAAAAAAAUGAAAGAAAGGGGUUAUUUGAGGGUAUAAAGACCAAAAGUUCCUCACCCCAAGCGGAAAAAAGCUGAACAAAAUUAAAAUAGCGGUAUGGCACACCACUAUUGUGGAGGUUAGCAUCCGUGCCACGCCCUUAUCACGGAGUUUAACCUCUGUGGCAUGCUAAUAUCGUGGAGGCUUACUGCCUCGGAGUCCCAAAAUGACCUCAAACUCCUUCCAAAAAUUCUGAAAUUCUUUCAAAACACCAUUUUAAUAUCCUUAAACAUAAUUCAAGUCAAAUAUCAAUAUUACGCAUGCAGGAGGGUUAAAAAUAAAAUCAUCGAUGUUUUAAGGGGUCUUACACUUUUGAUAAAUGGAGGCUAACCACUUUAGAACUGAUCAACAAGAGUACUCAACCACCUAAUAAUGUACAGGAGUAGCAGAAUACCCUCGGACCCUACAUCAUAAAAUAAUGCUGCAUCUAGGGACGGUCAGUGGGGUGAGCACUGGAAUGUAAUUCAGGGGGUAGGGAUAAAAUAAUGCAAUUAUCGAAAUCUAGUCAUAAACCAUAUACACCAUAUUCAUUUAUAUAUAUAUGGGAUGCUGGGAUAGAGAUGAGGGCCAUUAACAUGAGAGUUUAAGGAUUUAUCCUUAACUAUGUAUCUCGAUCCAUCCUAAAGGCACCCAUGGACUAUAUGGGUCUAACUCUCCCUACUGAAAGGCCAUAGUGUAUGUUAGCUGCACGAAUCAAGGAAAAAUUGAGGAAAGGUUAAAGACACCAAGGGUAUAGCCCUCCAAUAUAUAUAUAUAUAUAUAUAUAUAUAAUAUAUGCACUAAACACACGGUCAUAUGAACCCCCAUCACCGAUAAACAUGGUUUCCAGUGUUAAUCUCCUUCGAGACCUAGACCUUCACGGUGAACUACACAAUUCCCCCUAAGCCCAAAUUAAAACAGUUGCACAUAAAUCAAUCAUUAACUCAGGAGUCAUUUAUUAAGGCAUUUACAAUCAUGGUAUCGUCAUACCAAUUUGUUUGCAAGAUAAUUCAAUUAUGCCAAACCAGUCCAUAUAACCAAGCUGACUCCCAAGUUUCAUUUAAAUCCAAUCUAUGUCCACCAAAGCUAUUCAAAACUAUUUUUAUAUCCAUUUAUCCUUUAAUGCAAUGCAAUAGGUUCAAAAAUAAGUUAAACCAUGCAAUUAUCCAUAUUCAAAAUUAAGUUUACAAACUGGGUAAAGGUUAAUGUCAUUAUCAAACCAAAAUUCCAUCAAUUUGGGAAAAACUAUGUCCCUCAUUUCAAUCUAAAAAAUAAUGCAUCAAUUCAAUGCCAAAAUCAUUAAUUAAAACAUAAACCAUCUAUUUAAAAAAUGGUACAAGUAAUUCAAGCAAUAACCAUCAAAAGCUCUUGAUCUAAUUUCUAACCCAAUAAUUAAAAUUACAUAAAUAAUGAUUAAAUAUAUGUCAUAAUGUAAAAAUAUGAGUUAGGGAUGAGCAACAUGCCUAAAAUAUAGAAUAAUUUGAUGAGAAUUUGAAGACUUGGAGCUUGGAUGGUGAAUUUCUUGUAAAAUCCUUGAGCUUUCUUGGGUUUUGAGUUAAAGAAAAAAAUGGUUUUGAUCUUUGAAAACUGAAGGGAAAAGGGUUAUUUUGUGUUUAUAAGUCCUCCAAGGGGUAAAAAGACUAAAAGCCCCUCACUUUAAGUGAAAAAAAAUAAAAUUGGACGAAAUUAAUUUAGGAGCGUGGCAUACCCUUAUCGUGGAGGGUAGCCUUUGUUUCACACCCUUAUCGCGGAGGCUAACCCUCGUGGCACGCCCUUAUCGUAAAGGUUUACUGCUUAGGGGUCCCAAAAUGACCUUGAACCUCUUCUAAAAAUUUUAAAACUUUUCCAAAACACCGUUAUAAUACCCCUAAAUAUAAUUGAAGUAAAAAAUUGACAUUACACAUGUGGGAGGGUCAAAAAUUAAUUCAUUGAAAUUUUGUUAGGUGUUACAUUAUCCCCCCUUAGGAUCAUUUGUCCCUGAAUAAAGAGUUAGGACAUGUUUAGCACGAUAAUAAAAAGAGAACACAUUAGAAUCCAAGGUCAAACUCGAAAUACAACAAGAGGGAAAUGAAACUCAUACCUUAAGAAUUUUCUCCAACGUUGGAAACAAGAACGGGUACUUAACUUUCAUUUCUUCUUCAGCUUCCUAUGUAGCCUCUUCUACCUUUUGAUUUCUCCAAUGAACCUUCUCUGAGGCUACAUCCUUGGUCCUUAAUCUACGAACUUUCCUAUCCAAUACUUCAAUCGGGACUUUCUCAUAAGACAACAAAUAUGAAACACCAAAUCCUUAACAAAACUGUUAAAGAAGGGUCACCUGUACACUUUUUUAGUAUAGACACGUGGAAAACAUGAUGAAUUAAAGCCAAACUCGUAGGCAAAUCUAACUCAUAAGCGAUAAUCUUAAUUUUUCUUACAAUCUGAUAUGGUCCAACAUAAUGAGUACUGAGUUUCCCUAUCUUCCCAAAUCUCAUGAAUCCUUUCAUAGGGGAUACCUUUAAGAACACACAAUCACUUACUUCAAACUCCAGCUCCCUUCGCCUUACAUCCGCAUAAGACUUUUGGAAACUUUGAGUAGUCUUAAGUCUUUAUCUAAUCACUUUCUCCUUCUCCAUUGCUUGGUAAACCAAGUCAGGAAUAAGCAACCUAGACUUACCUACUUCAAACCACCCAAUAGGAGACCUACAACUCCUUCAAUAAAGAGCCUUGAAAGGAGCCAUUUGGAUGCUAGAAUGAUAACUUUUAUUGUAAGUAAACUCAAUAAAAUACAAAUGGUCGACCCAACUACUCUUAAAGUCAAUCACACGGGCCCCUUAGAAUAUCCACCAAAGUUUUAAUAAUAUGCUCCACUUGUCCAUCCAUUUGAGGCUAGAAAGUGGUGCUAAGAUUCACUUGAGUACCUAAACCUUUCUGAAAUAAAUGCUAGAAGUGAGAAGAAAAAUGCGUAUCUCGGUCUGAAAUGAUGGACACUGGCACCUGAUGCAACUUCCCUAUUUAUUGAAUGAAUAACUUAGCAUAAUCCUCUUCUAAAUAGUUAGUCCUCAUAGAUAAAAAAUGAGCAGACUUAGUCAUUCUAUCCAUAAUAACCCAAAUAGAAUCAUACUGACUGCGAGACUGCGAAAUACCCAUAAAAAAGUCCAUAAUGAUCAUAUCCCACUUCCACAUAGGCAACUCUAUCUCUUAAGACAUGCCACCAGGCCUCAAAUGCUCAACCUUGACUUUCUAACAAACCAUACCCUUAGCCAUAACCUUUUGCUGACCUACAUCCUUUUUAAUCUGCAUAAGUAUGGGAUCAAAAGCCUGCUUCUCCUUCGCCUCAGCAUUAAAAGAUGAUUUAACCACUUUCUGAAAAAUCACCCCUCCAUCCUUAGAGUCUAAGAGACAAACCCUUAAGUUAGCCAACCUGUGAAUAUCCUUUACCAACCCUCUUUUCUCCUCAUCAAUGUGAGAUAAGCUUCACAUAGACAGCCUGCUAAGAGCAUCAACAAUAACAUUAGCUUUACCUGGAUGGUAGUGCAAACUCAUGUCGUAAUCCUUGAGUAGCACAAGCUAACGCCUCUGCCUAAGGUUCAACUCCUUCUGUAUAAAUAUGUACAUAAAGCUCUUAUGGUCUGAAUAAAUAUCUAUAUGUACCCUAUAUAGAUAAUGGCGCCAGAUCUUUAAAGCAAAAACCAUAGUCGCCAACUUUAGAUCAUAAGUUGGGUAAUUCCUCUCAUGAACCUUAAGCUGCCUAGAAGUAUAGGCCACAACCUUAUCAUACUGUAUCAAAACACAAUCCAAUCCCACAUUGGACAUAUCACAAUACACAAUAAACCCACCAAUAUCCUCAAACAGGGUUAGAACUAGCGUAGAAGUCAAUUUAUCCAUCAACUUCUCAAAACUACCCUCACAAGAAUUGAACUAUAAAAACUUAAACUUUUUUCUGAGUUAACUUCAUCAGCAAAUCUACAAUAAAUAAGAAACUCUCUACUAACCUCCUGUUAUACCCGAUAGAUCCUAAGAAGAUCCUAAUAUCAGUUGGAGUUAUGGGUCUAGGACAUCUUGUAACUACCUCAACUUUCUGUGGAUCCACCUAAUCCUCUCACAAGAAACAACAUGUUCGAUAAAGGUCACAAAACUUAGCCAAAAUUCACACUUAGAAAACAUUGCAUACAAUUUUUAGUCUUUAAGAGUCUGCAACACAAUUCGGAGGUGAUUGACAUGAUCGUCCUCACUCUUAGAGUACACCAAGAUGUCAAAAAUGAAGACAAUAAUAAAAAAAUCUAGAAACUAUUUGAACACCCAAUUCAUAAGAUCCACUAAAGCAGCUGGAGCAUUAGUCAACCCAAAUAACAUAAGUAGAAACUCAUAACGGCCAUAACAAGUUCAGAAAACGGUCUUGGAAAUAUUAACCUCCAUAAUCUUUAAUUAGUGUUAUCCCAAUGAAGAUCAAUCUUAGGGAAACACCUAGCACAGUGAAGCUAAUCAAAUAGGUCAUCAAUCCUAGGAAGAGGAUACUUAUUCUUCACUAUAACCUUGUUUAACUGCUGAUAGUCUAUACACAUCCGAAGACAUCUUUAUUUUGCACAAAAAGUAUAGGAGCACCCCAUGGAGAAACACUAGGAUAAAUAAAGCCCUUAUCAAGAAUAUCUUUAAAUUGCUUCUUAAGUUCCUUUAGUUCAGCCGCAGCUAUACUAUAAGGGGGAUUAGAAAUUAGACGGGUAUCUGAUAGAAGAUCAAUCCCAAAAUUUAUUUCCCUAUUAGGAGGAAUUUGAGAAAGAUCAUCGAGAAAGACUUAAAGAAAUUCAUUAACCACAAGGAUUGAUUGCAAAGAAGGACUCUCAAAGUUAGAAUCUUUAACCCGAACUAGAUGACACUGACACCCCUUGGAAAUCAUUUUCAAAGAUCUAAGAUAAAAGAUAAAUCUCCUUUUGGGUACUAAGGAACUUCUUUCCUAUUCAAUCAUCAGUUCAUUAGGAAAUAGAAUCUAACCUGUUGGGUCACACAAUCCGUAGAAGUAUAACAAGAAUGAAGCCAAUCCAUCUCAAGAUUAUAUCAAAAUCCGCCAUAUCAAGUUCUAUCAAAUCCACCAAUGUCUCCUUAUAAAAGAUAGACACCACAUAACCCCUAUAGACUUUUCUAGAAAUAAUAGAUUCAUCCACUAGAGUCAAAACAGAAAAGGGGUCAAAAAUAUUUUCAGGGCUAAAACCAAAGUGUACAGCCAUGUAAGAGGUCACAUAAGAUAGGAUAGAACCUAGAUCAAAUAAAUUAUAAAUGUCAUGAGAUAAGAAUUGUAACAUACCAGUGACAACAGGGGAUGCCCCAGAUUCCUAAUGAGUAACAAGUGUAUAGAGACAAUUCUGGCCAUUACCAUUACCAAAAGUGGCAGCCUUAGGUGCCAAAGCCAAAGAAGUGAUCAUCAGAACCUUAUUAGCUCCAGUAUCAACCUUGGCUGAAGGAAAAUCCUGCUGCAUAUGACCAAGCUGACCACAAUUAUAGCAUUAAUUUCUCCCCCGAAUGAUAUCCUCAGUGAAGCUAUCCAUAAAAAUGGCAAGAAGGAUAAGGUGGGGCUGAUUGAGCUCCACUAGCCUGAGACUAGGAACCCUGUGCCUUAGGACUAUUGCUAGCCUAAAAAAUAAUGGUCAUCUGAAGGCUUAGGAUAUGGAGCAUUAGUAGACGAAUAUGAAUUUCUCCAGUUCUUCUUCUUGGUCCACUGCCUACCAUCUCUCCUAUUGUUCUACUAAUUUGCACCCUGCUCUGAAUAUCUAAACUUCUUGCUUUAUCUUUCCCACUAUCUCUGCCUACUUUUUUUCUCAUCUUCUACCUAGUGUAUAUAAACUACCAGCCUGGACAUUUCCAUAACAUUAUUCAACAUAUCAGCCUUAAACUCUAACACUAAAUCACGGGACAAACCAGAAGUAAACUUUCUCAUUCUGGACCUUUUAUUAGACACUAAUUUUGGAGCAUAAUGAGACAACUACUAAAAUUUUAGAGCACACUCCUUAACACUUAUCUUAUCCUGCUUUAAGUUCACAAACUCUUCAACCUUAGCUUCCCUUAACUCCUGAGGAAAGAAGUGAUUAGGAAAAACACCUGAAAAGUCAUCCUAUACAACCAACUAAGCAUCAUCACCCUUCAUUGCUUUCUACUCCUCAUACCACUGGUAACCCAUAUCUUUUAAUUGAUAGGCAACAAACUUCAUACUCUCUAAAUUAAUAGAAUGCAUAACCUAAAAAAUCUUUUCCAUCUCAUCAAUAAACCCCUGAGGAUACUCCUCAAUCUUAAAGCAUGUGAAGUUUAGGGUAUUCAACCUCAUAACUGGCUAAAUCAAGUGACCUCAGAUGAACUAACAAUAGAGCCAACAUGGUCAGACUGAUAAGACUAUGAUGCCACCUGUUGAGCAAGCAUAUGAAUAGAUUGAUGGAACUCUAUAUUAGAGAUAUCUCUUUGAGGUAUUUGAGCAUGGGUAUUACCAUUUCGAGAAGAUCGAGAAGGAUUAGUAGGGACAGAUGAAACCCCAUAUGGAGCGAUACAGUUAGGAGCAUGGACCCUAGCUCGUGUUUGAACUCCAUAAAUAGGGCAAGUUCCCUUUACAUUUUCCUCAAGUAGGAUAGAGGUCCCAACAAAGUUUUUACGAGCGUCAGAUCUUCGAGGAGGCAUGAUCUAAAAUACGAGUAAGCAAGGAGUUACAGAGGUUUUAUAGCAACUAAACCUGAUAACCCAAAAUAGGACACAAGAAAGGAAAAUAUUCUAAAAUGUCUUGCAGCUUUCCCCUUAUAAGUAUGACACGCUACACACCCAUAAGAGAAACUCUACUCGGCACAACUUUAUGGACACUCCAACAAUCUUGAAUCAUCUAUGAUACCAAAUUUAUCAUGGCUCAAACUCGAGCAUGAUCAUGAUGGGUAUCUCAAGCCCACCGUAGGAUGGAGACCACCCUUUUACCUUACCUCAAAAGUAUAUAAAUAUAUACAGUGGGAGCCAACUAAGAUAGUAAUGAGAAUAAAUAAGUCAAAUGAUAAUUCUAAGAAUCCAAACAACUAACCAACCUAAACUUGUCCACAAAAGCCAUUAAAACCAGAAAUACCAACUAAGUCAGGACAUGCCCCCGACUAUGACCAAAAAGGGUCCAAAAUAAAAACCAAAAUAGUAAUGAAACCAAUGAAAUGAUCGAGCCUUCCAAAAAAUGGAGGCUUUCCACUCACAGUUGAUCAACAGGGGUACUCAACCACCUAAAGAUGUAUAGGAGCAACAGAAAAGCUCUCGAACCCUAUAUCAUGAAAUGAUGCAACAUCUAGAGACGGUCAGUAGGGAGAGCACCGCCAUAUAGCUCAGGUAUAGGGAUAAAAUAAUGCAAUUACUAAAAUUCAAUCAUAAGCCAUAUGUACCACUUUCAUAUACAUAUAUAUAGAAUGCUGGGAUAGGGGAAAUGGCCAUUAACAUAAGAGUUUAAAGAUUUAUCAUGAACUAUAUAGCUAGAUUCAUUCUAAAGCCACCCAUGGGUUAUAUAGGUCCAACUCCUCUUGCUAGAAGGCCCCAGUGCAUGUUAGAUACACAAAUUGAGGAAAGAUAAAGACAUUAAGGAUAUAGCCCUCCCAAUAUAUAUAUAUAAAGUGUGCAUGAAGCACAUGGUCAUAUGGACCCAAACGCUGGUAAAUGUUAUUUCAAGUGUUGAACCCCCUGGGACCUACACCUUCAUAGUGAGCUACACAAAUCUUUUCAAGCCCAAAUUAAUAUAGUUGCACAUAAACCAACCAUUAACCCAUGAUUCAUUUAUUAAGGCAUUUACCAUCAUGGUAUCAUUAUACCAAUAUGCUUUCAAGCUAAUUCAAUUAUGCCAAACCAGUCCAUAUAACCAAAUUGACUCCUAAAUUCUAUUUAAAAUCCUAUCCAUGUCCACUAAGGCUAUCCAAAACUAUUUUUAUAUCUAUUUAUCCCUUAAUGCAAUGCAAUGAGUUCAACAAUAAGUUAAACCAUGCAAUUAUCCAUAUUUAAAAUUAAGUUUAGAAAGUAGGUAGAGGUUAACGCCAUUAUCAAAUAAAAAUUCCAUCAAUUUGGAAAAAACUAUAUCCCCUAUUCCAAUCAUUAAAAUAAUGCACCAAUUCAGUCCCAAAAUCAUUAAUUAAAACAUAAAUAAUCCAUUUAAAACAUGAGACAAGUAAUUCAAGAAAUAACCAUCAAAAGACCUCAAUCCAAUUUCAAACCCAACAAUUAAAAUCACAUAAAUAAUGAUUAAAUAUAUGCCAUAAUAUAAAAAUAUAAGUUAGGAAUAAGCAACAUGCCUGAAAUAUAGGACAAUUUGAAGAGAAUUCAAAGUUUGUAGCUUGAAUUGUGAAUUCUUUGUAAAACCCUUGAACUUUCUUGGGUUUUGAGUUAAAAAGAAAAAAAAUAGUUUUGAUCUUUGAAAACUGAAGGAAAAAGGGUUAGUUUAUGUUAAUAAGUCAUUCAAGGUUUAAAAAGAUCAAAAUCCCCGCACCCCAAGAGGAAAAACAAAAAUUGGAUAAAAUUAAUAUACGAGCGUGGCAUGACCUCAUCGUGGAGGGUAGAUUCUGUGACACUCCCUUAUCGUGGAGGCUAACCUCUAUGGCACACCCUUAUCAUAGAGGCUUACUGCCUUGGGGUCCUAAACUAACCCUGAAACCCUUUCAGAAAUUUUGAAACUUUUUCAAAAUACCCUUUUAAUAUUAUAAUACCCCAUGUCUGGAAGUUUCUGUGCAUUAUAUGACUCAUUCCUAUAAGUUGUACAAGCAACAUACGUAUGGUAUGUUGAAAUCAUAUCCAAGAUAGUGUGGCAUGGUGGACAUUCUAUUGUAGGUACGACUUGACCCCUAGAAGUUAUCAUGUAAGGUACGAGUCAUAUGGAGGUAAGUUGUAAGUUCAUUAGUAUAGACUCCCUGAGAUUCUGUCCUAUAUACGAGUGGGGGGGCUAAGAGUCAUAUGAAGAUAAUACUAGUCAUAGGUGGAACUCGUAUGUUGACUAGUGUGUACCUUCCUAAAUACUACCAAGCUCAUGAAUCAUGAAGACUAGUCGUACCCUUCUACACAAUUCGUAUGGUAGACUUUUAAAGACUAACGUUCAAUUUCUGUAAAAUUCAGAAAAGGGCUUAUUGGUCUUUUCCUCUCUUAUAACUUCCACCCAAGACCAAUAACCCUUAAUGAGGCAUUAUUUCCUUUUCUUUCCAAUCGAUUAACAACACUCACCUCCUUCCAUCUUCAAAAACAUCAAGACUAGGGUUCAUCUCACAUAAAUUCAUCCUUCAAGUCCCAAGGUUCAAAACUAUCUUCACAAGUAAAGAAAUUUUAGGUAUAUGGGGUUUAUGAACAAUGUUAUUUUUUUAUCCUUGUGCCCAAAAAAUAUGAUUUUAAUAUUUAAUUUACUCAUUUUGAUUUAGGGUUCAUAUUCAAAUAACCAUAUUCUUGAAGUAUGAUACCCCUAUGUGAUUUAAUGCUUUAAGUUUUACAUGUAUCCAUGUUUUGAUUUAUAAGAUUCAUAUUGUGAUUUGAAUUUCAUUAUCUUGACCGGGACAUCGUUGAAAGAUUUAAAGAUGAUUAUUUAGCAUAAUAUUUUGUUAUGAAUUUCUAUGAAAUAAAACAUGAAUUCUAAGUCCUAAGUACAAGUAUUGAGUUUACAAGAAGUUUAUGCCCUUAAAAUCCGUUGAUAUGUUCCAUAACAUGAUUUAAGAAAAACUUGAUCUUUUGAUCUAAAUAUAAGACGUGAAAUCCAUAACCUGUUCAUCUUGAUUAUGAUUUAAAGUAAAGAGAAGCAUAACUGGUUUUCAGUUUAUAAACCCUUAUGCUAUUUUAAGGUGGAUUUCUUAAAGUAUGAGUAUAUAAGUAUUCUGUGAGUAGUAUUUAGCACCGAGCAUGGAAUGCGGAUGAGUGUAUACUAAAUUACUGAAAACUAUGAGCUAACAUAGAUUAAGAUUUUACCUAAUAUGGAUGAAGUUUAGUGAUUACUUAAGUUAAGAUUUUAUUCCGAUGGCAAGUGUAGAACAACUCUCUCUAACGCGGGUAAAAUGUUGGACUCCAUGGUUGCUCACAUGGUUUAUGUCAGUUAGAAUAAUCUCCCAUAAGAAAUAAUAAAAGUAAAACUUUUAGAAACUAAGUGUUACGGCUCACAAAGUUUAUUCUUAUGCUUUAUUAUUCAUGUUUAUGAUCUUGCAGUCUUUGUUUUAUUCAAGUUUCAAGCGGGUCACUUACACUUAGCAUGCAUCAUUUGAAAGCUUAUAUGUAUAUUUAGUUAUUAUUUUACUUAAGCAUUCACCCCCUCAUACUCAGUGCAUUCCAAAAAUACUGAUCCACAUAUAUGUGUAUGUUAUACAUUGUCUUAUAAUGUAGGUUUUGAUGAUCGUUUCCAGCAACACGAUUGACUACAAGUAUCAUCACCUACUUUCUAACUUUUAGUGUGUCCUUAUAGUCUGAGGACCCAUUUCUCAGAUAUAUAUUCGUUGUUGAAAGUGUUUUAGUUAUGUGAUUUCUAGUUAUGUUUGGGUUUGCCAGGGUCUGUCCCAAUGGCUCCCUAGUCAUGAGUAGAGGCUUGUCAGAUUGUUUAAGUUUUAAGUUCACCGAGCCGAUGCACAUAGAAACAAUGAUCAACCACCACUAAACACCAACCCUCUGAAUGAGAAUAUGUCUCAAGUUAAAUUUUGGGCUGACUUUCAAGCGUUAGCCCAAGCUAUGAAUGCCAAUGUUCAGGAAAACCAACAGGCAAUGCUUCUACUUUAGGAAAAUGACAAUUUAGCUUCAGCCAGGAUUUGGGACUUUAUGAGAAUGAAUCUACUUGAGUUCUAUACGUCAAAGGUGGAUGAAGAUCCUCAACUCUUUUUUAUGAGGUGAGAAAGAUUACUCAGAUUAUGCAUGUUACUAAAGAUUAGAGUGUAGAGUUGGAAUCCUAUAUGCUGAAGGAUGUUGCUUUAAUUGGGUUGGUAUGUGGAAGAAAGGUAGAGGUGAUAAUGUAGUUUUUAUGAGUUGGUCGGUGUUUCAAAAUGCUUUUCUAGAUAGGUUCUUCCUAUGUGAGAUGAGAGAGGCUAAGGUGGAGGAUUUCAUGAGCCUGAGGCAGGGUUCUAUGACAGUGAAAGAGUACGACCUUAAGUUUACUCAGUUGUCUAAGUAUGCUCCCGAGUUGUUAUCUGACUCUAGAGCUUAUAUGAGUAAGUUUGUUACUAGGGUAUCUGAUUUAGUUAUCAAGAAGUAUAGGAAUGCUAUGCUGAUUGGGGACAUGGAUAUUGCUCGAUUGAUGACUUAUGCUCAAUAGAUUGAGGCAGAAAAGUUAAAGGAAAAAGAGAAGAGAAACAAAGAGCUAUGACUAGACAAUUUGAGUAUAGUCAACCAAUGUCUGGAGGGGGAAACCAUUUGCAGUUUUAGGGUCAUUCAUCAGUGCCAAUACCAUCUUCAUCUAGUUCCCCAGUGCCUAGAACCAGGCAUGAAAAGUGGGGAAGGACUUUAAAUUCUAGGACUCAGAAUAGUGAAGUUGUGAGGCCUAGUUACCUGACAUGUGUGAAGUAUGGCAGGACCCAUCUUGGUGAGUGUUUGUUAGCAGGGGGUUGCUAUGGUUGUGGAAAUUUGGGCCACAAAAUCAAGGAGUGUUCAUAUGCUAAGCAUGGAAGUAAGGAUGUUCGUUCUCAGACUAAGGUUAAUAAUGCACCAUCUUAGCCAAGUCACCUAGUUCUACUAUAGGAUGCGUCACUCAAUACCGACGACGAUCAAUGCUAGAAUUGAUUUUAUGCCUUACCAUCCCGUCAGGAGCAGGAUAGUUCACAAGAUGUUGUCAUUGGUAUAGUUCGUGCUUUUUACCUUGAUGCAUAUGUGCUGUUAGACCUAGGGUAAAAUCUUUCUUAUGUAACUCAAUUGGUUGCUAUACAUUUUGGUGUAUGCCUUGAAAAUCUCUCUAAGCUCUUCUCAGUUUCCACCCUAGUGGGGGAGUCAGUUGUUACAAGAUGAGACUGUAAGAAUUGUCCUAUUACCUUUCUCUAUAAAAUCAUACUAGUGGACCUAAUAGUGUUAGAGAUAGUAGAUUUUGAUGUUAUUCUGGGCAUGGAUUGACUCUAUUCAUGCUAUGCAUCAAUAGAUUAUCGCACCCGUGUGGUGACGUUUCAAUUUUCUGAUGAGGUAAUUAUUGAAUUCGAGGGUAGUUAUGUGUCACUUAUAGGUUAUUUCAUCUCUAAUCCCCAAUGCUUCAAUCAGUCCUUGUGGUCAAUGAUUUUCCUGAGGUCUUCCCUAAAGAUCCACCAAGGGUACCUCUAGAUAGAGAAAUAUAAUUUGGUAUAGAUCUUCUUCCUGAUCCUAGACCAUCUCUAUUCCUCCGUAUCGUAUGGAUCCUACAAAACUUAGAGAGUUAAGGGAACAACUUUAGAACCUCUUAGAUAAAGGUUUCAUUAGACCCAAUGUCUCUUCGUGGGAUGCUCUAGUCCUUUUCAUGUGCAUAAAAGAUGGCACUCUCAAAAUAUGUAUAGAUUAAAGACAGAUAAAUAAGGUUACCAUCAAGAACACGUAUCCUAUUCCUAGAAUCGAUGAUUUGUUUGAUUAGCUUUAGGGUGCCAUAUGGGUUUCCAAGAUUGACCUUAGGUCGGGAUAGCAUUAGUUGAAAGUUAGGGAUCAAGACAUUAUGAAGAUAGAUUUCUGAACGAGGUAUGGCCAUUUUGAGUUUGUGGUUAUGUCGUUUAGACUGACUAAUGCUCCUACAUCCUUCAUGGAUCUGAUAAAUAGGGUCUUUAAGUAGUACUUGGACAUAUUUGUCAUUUUUUUUAUAUAUGACAUACUAGUGUAUUCCAGGAGUAAGGAAGAGCAUGCAGACCAUUUAAUAAUAGUGCUACAGACCCUCAAGGAUCGUCAAUUGUAUGCAAAGUUUGGUAAAUAUGAGUUUUGGUUGGAAUCUAUUACCUUCUUAGGACAUGUCAUUCAGGGGAUGGUAUUCUUGUAGAUACUCAAAAGACUAAUGCAGUAAAGCACUGGUUUAGAUCCAUAACUCUAUUUGAUAUUAGGAGUUUUUUUUGGGUUUGUCCGGGUAUUAUAGAAGAUUUGUUGAAGAGUUCUCCUCAAUAUCUGUAUCACUGACUAAACUGGCCCCAAAAAAGUAAAUUUUAUAUGGUUAGAUAAGUGUGAGAAGAGUUUCCAAGAUUUAAAGGAUUGAUUGACGUCGGCACUAGUGUUAGCCCUACCAGAAGGGUUAGACGGAUUCAUAGUGUAUUGUGAUGCUUCUAGAGUUGGUUUAUGUUGUGUGUUGAUGCAAAAUGGGAAAGUGAUAGCUUAUGCCUCUAGGCAAUAUAAGGAUCAUGAAAAAAAAUUACCCAACUCACGAUUUGGAGUUAGCUGCUGUGGUUUUUGCUUUAAAAAUUUGGAGGCACUACCUUUAUGGUGUGCAUGUUGAUGUUUUCACUGGCCAUAAAAGCCUUCAAUAUAUACUUUCUCAAAGGGAGCUGAAUCUUCAUUAGAAAGGUGGUUGAAGUUUGUUGAAAGAUUACGACAUAAAUAUGCUCUAUCAUCCGGGUAAGGCAAACGUAGUGGUAGAUGCGCUAAGUAAGUUAUAUAUGGGCAGUGUGUCUCAUGUAAAAGAGGUAGAAUAAGAGUUGGCUAAAUAAGUGCAUAGAUUGGCCCAUUUUGUAGUUUGUUUGCCCAACACUGAUAAUGAGAAAUAGUAGAUCAGAAUAGUUUAGAAUCAUCUUUGGUAGUGAAAGUGAAUGAGAAAUAGCACAAUGAUCCCAUACUUAGCCAAAUAUUGGAGGCAUUUUAGUAGCAGAAGGUUGAGGUUUUCUCCCAAGGGGGAGAUGGGGUACCUCGCUAUCAAAUAGACUAUGUGUUCCGAAUAUAGAUGGGUUAAGGGAUAGAAUACUAGCUGAGGCUCAUCAUUUGAGGUAUUCCAUUCAUCUGGGUACUUCUAAUAUAUACCGUGACUUACGGUAAAUUUAUUGGUGGAAUGGUAUUAAGAGGGACAUAGUCUAGUUUGAAGCCAAGUGUCCAAAUUGUCAGCAAGUUAAAGUUGAACACCAAAUAUUGGGUGGCACGUUACAACAGAUCAGUAUCCCUACUUGGAAGUGGGAAGUAGUAAAUGUAAAUUUCAUCACAGGGUCUCCACAUAUAAGACAUCAGGAUGAUUCAGUUUGGGUCAUAGUAGAACGAAUGACUAAGUCAACCCAUUUGCUACUAGUUAAGACUUUAGAUACCAUGGAGGAUUAUGCCAAGAUAUAUGUUCACGAGUUAGUGAGGCUUCAUGGGAUACCCUUGUCCAUCAUUUCAGACAGAGGCACGCAGUUUACUUCACAGUUUUGGCAGUCUUUUUAAAAGGGCCUUGGUAUAAAGGUUAAGCUUAGUAUUGUUUUUUAUCAACAGAUAGAUGGUUAGGAUAAAUGUACAAUUUUGACAUUAGAAUACUUGCUGAGGGUGUGUGUUUUAGACUUUAAAUGCAGUUGGGAUGACCAUCUUGCUUUGAUUGAGUUUGCUUAUAACAACAGUUAUCACGCUAGCAUUCAGAUGACACUGUUUGAGGUGUUGUAUGGGCGUAGGUGCAGGUAACCUAUAGUAUGGUUCGAGGUUAGUGAAGUGGAUUUGAUUGGGUAGGACUCUAUCCAUGAAGCUAUGGAGAAGGUUCAGUUGAUUUAUGAGUGAUUAAAAACUUCUUAGAGCCGUCAGAAAUUGUAUGCUGAUGUAAGAAGAAGAGAGCUCGAGUUUGAAGUAAGCAAUUAGGUAUUCCCUGAAAUUAUCACCUAUGAUAGGGAUAUUGAGGUUUGGAAAGAAAGGGAAACCGAGUCCCUGAUUUGUUAGUCUGUAUGAGAUAGUGAAGUUUCUGAAGUUUAUAGGAGAGGUUGCUUACGAAUUGAAUCUUCCAUUAUAGUUAGUUGUGGUUCAUCCAGUGUUUCAUGUUUCGAUGCUCAAAAAGUGCAUUGGAAAUCUGUCCUUAGUAGAUUCCCUAGAGAGUAUUGGGAUCAAUGAUAACUUGAAGUAUGAGGAGAUUCUGGUGGAGAUACUUGAUAGGCAAGUCCAAAGGCUAAGAAAUAAGGAAGCAACAUCAGUAAAAGCUCUUCGGAGAAACCAAUUGGUUGAAGGGGCCACUUAGAAAGCUGAAGAAGACAUGAUGACCAAGUAUCCUCAUCUCCUUUCCUCCAAUUUAGUUCCUACCUAAGGUCAAGUGUUAUUUCCAGCAAGUUCUUUUUCCUUAAAGACCGUUUAAAUGCUCCUAUGUUGUAAUGUUGUGCAAAAUUGAAUCCUUGUGGUAGUGGUAAGCUUAGUUGUACAUUCAGUGUGGAGGUGUUGAUUCUUGUUAAGAUCACAGUCCUAGACGAAUCAUAUUCGAGAACGAAUGCUUCCAAGGGGGAGAUAUUGUAAUACCCCAUGUUUGGAAGUUCCUAGGCAUCAUACGACUCAUUCCUUUGAGUCAUACAAACAACAUACAAGUGGUAUGUUAAAAUUGUAUCCAAGACAGUAUGACAUGGUGGAAAUUUUGUUGUAGGUAUGACUUGACCCCUAGAAGUUAUCAAGUAAGGUAUGAGUCAUAUGGAGAUAAGUCAUAAAUUUAUCAGUGUAGACUCUAUGAGAUUCUUUGCUAGAUAUGAGUGAAGGGCUAAGAGUCAUACGAAAAUGAUACUAGUCGUAAGUGGAACUCAUAUGUUGACUAGUGUGUACCUUCCUAGAUUCUUCCAAGCUCACGUGUCAUGAAGACUAGUCAUACCCUUUUAUAUGAUUCGUAUGCUAGACUCGUAAAGACUAACGAUCAAUUUCUGUAAAAUUCAACUAAGGGCUUUUUGGUCUUUUUCUCUCUUAUAACUUUCACCCACGACCUAUAAUCCUUAAAGGGGCAUUAUUUUCCUCCUUUUUCCAAUUGAUUAGCAACACUCUCUUCUCCAUCUUCAAGACCAUCAAGACUACGGUUCAUCACACAUAAAUUCAUCCUUUAAGUCCUAAGGUUCAAAACUCUCUUCACAAGUCAAGAAAUUUCAGGUAUGCGGGAUUUAUGAACAAGAUUAUUCUGAUUUUAAGAUUUAAUUUACUUGUUUUAAAUUAGGGUUCAUAUCCAAAGAACCAUAUUCUUGAAGUAUGAUACCCCCAUGUGAUUUAAAGGUUUACAUGUAUCUAUGUUUUGACUCAUAACAUUCAUAUUGUAAUUUGAAUUUCAUUAUCUUGACGGGGACAUUAUUGAAAGAUUUCAAUAUAAUUAUUUAGCAUAAUGUUUUGUUAUGAAUUUCUAUGAACAAAGCAUGAAUUCUAAGUCCUAAGUACAAAUAUUGUGUUUAGGAGAAGUUUAUGCUCUUAAGUUCCAUUGAUAUGUUCCAUAACAUGAUUUAUGAAAAGCAUGAUCUUUUGAUCUAAAGAUAAGAUAUGAAAUCCACAACUUUUUCAUUUUGAUUAUGAUUUAAAGUAAAGGGAACAUAACUGGUUUAUGUCUAUAAACCCUUAUGCUAUUUUAGGGUGGAUUUCUUAAAGUAUGGAUAUAUAAGUAUUCUGGGAGUAGUAUUUAGCAUUGAGAAAGGAAUGCGGAUGAGCAUAUCAUAAAUUUCUGAAACCUAUGAGACAACGUAGGCUAAGCUUUUCCCAAUAUGGAUGAAGUUCAAUGAUAACUUAAGUUAAGGUUCUAUUUUGAUGGCAUAGGUAGAACAACUCUCCCCAAUGUGGGUAAGACGUGGACCCCAUGAUAGCUCACAUGGCUAAUGUCGGUUAGAAGAAUCUCCCAUAAGAAAGAACAAAACUAAAGCUUUUAGAAACUAAGUGUUAUGGAUCACAAAGUGUAACGCCCCGAAUCUGGUACCCGAAAUGCUACACGGUGCUCAUGACCCCGAAGGACCACAAGCUAACCCCUGACUGAUAUCUAUAACUGAGUACUGAAUAAUAUACUGUAAAUAUGCGGAAUAUAAGUUGUAAGGCCAUAAGGUUCAAAACUGAACUAAUGCUAAAUAUAAAACUACGUCAGUAAUGGUAUAACAAUACCCAAAACUGAAAUAAACUGUCUAAAAACAUGUUGUAGUCUGAAAGCCUCUAAACUGUCUGAAAUUUGUAGAGUUGAUGGGAUGUGUCCCCAACUAACUCCUAACUACUGAAAUAGUAAAUUAAUAAAAUAACCAUGCUAUCCUCAAAUGAUAAGGACUCACUGCUAGUCUGGCUGCUGAAUGUAUGAUCUACUAAGGAUGCUCGAGAGCUCGUGUUUCUUAACCUAUGGUAUAAAACACCAUAGCACAAAUGCGUCAAUACGUUGAAUGUACUGGUAUGAAAGUGAGGUAGGAUGAAUACAAGGGGUUCAUAUGCAUGAAAAAUACAAAUUGAUUAACUAACAUAAAUAUGAGAAUACAUACAUGCAUAUGUAACUGUAACUGAGAUCGUGAUAACGCUGAAUCAUGAAUUCAGAUAAUAUGGAUUUACUGAUAUCUGAGUACUAAUACUGAGAUACUGAAUGACUGUCUAUUGAGUACUGAGGAACUGAUAUCAUAUUACUGAUAAAGGAAUGACUAUUUUUGAUAGUUCUGAUUAUGAAGAACUGGUUUGAUUGACUGUAUAUGACAGUUCUGAAAUUGAAUACUGAUAAUAUGAGUUUUGUAUAAUUAAUAUACUAUUAACUGGGUUUGUGAUUACAUGAUUAGUGAGUAUGAGUUCUGAUAACAUGAGUGACUGUAUCUGAUAGUCCUGAUACUGAUGGAACUAGCUGAGUUUCGUACUAUACUGAGUUGACUGUAUUUGACAGUCCUGGAUUUCUAUAAAACUGAACUAAGUUCUAUAUCUGAGACUGGAUUUGAAACUGAGACUAUGGGAGGUAAUCAUCUAACCGACAUGCCUCGAAAUUAAUUGGUGGGGUCUAACCUGUAACCCCAGCUGGAAGGGUGUUAGUACCAUGCCACGGGUAAAGACAAGUCGUGAAGUAACCCUCUCUGAUGGGAAGCUCUUCUGUCAACCCUCCUGUAGGAAUAAACCCAAAUGAGAUGUAUUAGGACCCCUAUGCAUAGGAGUACAUCUCAACUUACACUGGCUACGUAGUUCUGGAAUGCAAGGAUUGCUUCUAGGGAUCACGCCCUCCGCUGAAUAGUAGGUGAGUCCCUAUCCUUGGGUUUACUCGAUGCUGAAUCCUACUUCCAACUGAAUAAACACUAGAUUGAUUAUGCUGAACAGAACUAUUGUUGUGGUAUUAUUUAGCAGAGCUAAACUGAGUUUGCUGAGUUUCAUUGACUGAUGGAAUACUACUUAGAUCUGAGGAUUGUCUGAGGGGAUUGAAGUCACUAAGAUUUGUAGGGAAUACUAAGAUCACUGAGAUUACUAAACUACUGAGAUUACUGAGAUUUCUGAGAUUUCUGGAGGAGAUUGGACCGAUAUUGAAUUUACUGAGUUUUCCUGAGUCAUGAGACUGGCUAAAUUCUAUUGAUCAUUGCUUGACUGAGAUUAUCUUGAAAACAUGACAUGGCUCUAGGCACACAACUAAAUUAUUGGGUACAAGUACCCCCAGGAAUCAAUAGAAUAAAAUUACAAGGCUUGACACUUUUGAUCACAUGACCAAUAUCAACAAUUCAUAAUUUCAUAGUUGGGGAUUUCAUGAAGCACAUGAUCAUCAUAAUGUUGUGCAUGGAUUGUAAUACGUAUAAAAUGAUAUAAUUUCAUACUUCUAAUCUUAUGAACAUCUCAUCAAGCAAUCACAAUGCAUAGGUUUUGCAUGGGAAUUAUCUUAAUCUAGUAGGUAUAGCAUAACUUAAGAGGCAUGACAUGAUCUUGACACAUGGAAUCUAAAUACUUGAUCAUCAUUCAUUCAUUGGGGCAUAUUAUCAAACACCUUGCAUGCACACUUAGGACAUAGGAAUGAUCAUCAAUUUAGCACAACAUGGUUCCACAAUUUAACUCAAUUGCAUGUAUAUCUGAUGCAUGAUUUCAUGACUAAGUGAUUUCUGAUGCAUAUCAAUUUCCCAUAUGAUAAAAAGUAAAAAUCUUGAUAAUACCACAUGUAUAAAAGUGGAUUUAUCUUUAAAACAAGUCUUUUACAUUUCUGGGAUAAUUUUUAAGCUAGGUAGAGAUACGAGGUACUACAAUAUAUCCCCCUUGGGAAUAUUCAUCCUCGAAUGAGACUGAUUGAAAUGGGAGGAAUAAUAAGAUGAAGUUCAUACUGAAUAUGAACAAUGGAAACAGGACUACCUAACUGACAUUACUGAGAUUCAUACUGAGCAUACAUAUCUGAUGCAUGAUUUCAUGACUGAGCUGAUACAUGAAUGUAUGACUAAGAGUGCUGAUAAGCUGAUCAUGCAUAUCUGAUGCGUGAAUAUAUAACUGAACUGACUAAUGAACAUGUGAUUGAACAUGUAAGGGUAAAGAUACUAAGUUUGAAAUGAAAACUUAGCAUGGAACUGAAUACCACAUUUGUAACUGAAAACCCAUCAUAAAACUGGAUAAGCUUGAGAAAAGCUAUUACCUUGGGCUAAGUCUGAACUUAAUUGCUAAAUAUGAAUGAGCGGAAACAUGAGAAUGUAACUGGGUCUGGAACGUGAUACAUGAACUAAAUAUCCUGAUCUGAACCGAGCCUCUAAAUACAUGGCUCACAGCUAAGAUAGAAACUUGGGGGUUAACUUAUGAGUACCUCCUUCCCCUAAACUAGAUUCAUUACAAGUAGAAAGAAUGAGAUGUUCUUGUCAUGAAAGUCUGGGGAUUCAUAGUGUAUCUCCCCUUUGGGAUGCUAUGUCCCUCGAAGAAUACUAACUUGGAUGAGUCACUGAGGAAACUGAAGCGAUGCACAAGGCAUCUACGAGCUAAGUCUUAACUGAAUAUCUGGGAUCUGAAACUGAGGCGUGAUACAUGAACUUGGCUGAGCUUGCACCUAUCUAGUUGGUUUAUCUUAAAAUGGUUACAUUCAUGAGGCUUAAGAUAGUAUGUCUAGAUGGAAGGGAUGGAAACCCAAACCGUACUAACUUGUUCGUCUAACUGAUAGACUGACUUUCUGGUUUUACGAACUAACCCAUGAUGAAAACUUAUAGUCGACCGGAGCCUUUCCUUAGCACUCUUUCUAUAGAGUUAUAGUGGCCUUACGACGUAAGGAAAUCUUGGCCUUGUCUAAACAAGACAGCUGGAUAAGAAAAUCAUCACAUGGCUAAAGUUUGGUAAGAUAAGUUGAGGCCUACGAACAACCUUUAAGAUGAAAUGACUAAGCCUCUUGCACUGCAACUAAUAUUACUAAAAAGAGUCACAUAGGUGCUAAACACAAGUGUAUAAAUAUGCUAACUUAUCUGAUUAACUGGGUAGCUGAUAGCUGAAUAUUGGACGUGUAAGACUGAACUGUACUUGGUCUGAAUAGCUGGACUGAGACUAUAAAGUAUUAUACACAAAAGGUAAUGGAUGAUUGGGUAACAUGAGGUAACUAAGCAUGAAUUCGUGAAGACGGUAUUAUCUGAGAAUGCAAGACCAAGGCAUAUAACACGAUUCUAAAAUAGUCUGUAGACUUGUAUGCUAGGAUCAAGUAAACUUAAAACUGAACUGAGUUGUUGAUUUGAUUACUAGACUGAGACUGUGACUGAGGCUGUAACUAAGAUUGUAACUGAGACUUAUACUAGAACUGAAUGCUGAGUUUUGAUAACUGAAACUGUAACUGACAUAGUAACUGAGUUUUUGGAUAGCCAUGCAGUGAAGACCGGCAUAAGUCGAGAAUCAUAAUAUAUACUCUUACUUACACUCUGUACUUUCCCAACUUCUAAUUACAACCUCUUGCUAGCCCUUUACUGGCACACUAACAUGAAAUUCAAGACUAUCUUUAUCACUACACCCUCGUGUAAAAUAAUAAUGCAACAAUCUUGACUUAACAUAAAACAUCCACUUUCUCCCUUCUAAGCAACUGCCCAUCACUACACUAUUUUCACAAAGAGAGCUCACUGAAGGGUUAAAUUAGGAGGACAUAAAGCAUGAAUGGAAACUAACUGAACUUGACACUUGACUAAAGCCUGAGGAAUAGAACAUAAACAUCAUGGAUUCACCAAGAGGUAUAAAAUGAGGAUAUGCAUAACAUAGUCUAAAUUUAACUGAUCGAUAGAGGCGUAGCAUAAGCCAUGGAAGUUGAAUAUACUAUAAAGAUUGACGUGAGUACAUGAGUCAUGAGAUGCAUGACUGGAGUUUUGAGUUUUCUGCAUUCGUUGAACAUGAUUUGCAUUACUGAGGGGAAUAGAGCUGAACUCCUUAUAUUGGAAACUAGAAUCGUACAUAAUGCUAUGGAAAAUGUAUGAAUAUAAGCUGUGUUCAUGGAAUUGAGAUGUGAGGCAUGCGUAGGCAUCAUGCUGACUGAAGUACCAAACUUUACACUGAGAUAAGGAUGGGUCAGGAAUCAUCUUACUUUACUACUUUUUUAUACGUACUGGCACUACUACUGGAAUCUGGGAGCUUAAAUUGGUCACUUGAUCUAUCAUCUCCCCCUUGGCUUUAAGCCAUCAUCAUAAGUCUGUGAAUACUUUACUAAACUUUGAACUGAACUGCAAUCAUCAUCACAUACUUACACUCUGUACGACACAUGCAUUGUCUUACUAAGCACAUCAUCUGCUUUUGUUUCUUCAUAUACUACUAAUAUUACGUCUCCUAAUUCAUAUCCACACCUUCAUACUUAAUUUUAGAUUAAUACUCAUAAAUUCUUGCUUGCACUGUUCAAGCCUACUGGUCUACUUUGGUAUGACUAUCCUCAUGAACACAUAGUCUGUUCAACCUGGAUAAUGUUAUCCCAACUCUACUACUGCCAAACUCCUGAGUUCAUGCUUCUAACUCUAGGUCAUAUGCUAUCAUAGAAUUCUGAGAAAGGAUCUGAUGACAUAUCUAAUUUUAGGUUUGAAAAUAAGCUCUCAUGAUCAUGAAUGAGAUCUGUAUAACUUUGGAACAUAACAGAACUGAUGGGAUACUUUUGAGCUUGUGGGCAAUCCCAUAACUGUCUGCGGGGACUUUCUGAGAAAGCCCUACCCCUAGGACCUUGAGCUUCACUAUUUCUAUUACCUUGAAAGUAAGGUGGAGUUGACAUGAUUGUAGCAUAAUGAUAACUUACAUGAAUUUCUUAAAAAACCUUUCUAUAGCACGAUCUGAAACAUAAAAGAAGAGAAACAGUUCUUAAAAUAUCUCAUAGCCUCCUGCACAUAAGUGUGGUGCACAAUACACCCAUGUAUAAAACUCUACUAGAUGUAGCUUUUCAGACUUCCUAGGACAUUAUUGAACCUUAGGCUCUGAUACCAAGUUUGUAACGCCCUAAAUCUGGUACUCGAAAUGCUACACGGUGCUCAUGACCCCGAAGGACCACAAGCUAGCCCAUGACUGAUAUCUAUAACUGAGCACUGAAUAAUAUACUAUAAAUAUGCAGAAUAUAAGCUAUAAGGCCAUAAGGUUCAAAACUGAACUAAUACUAAAUAUAAAAAAACACCAGUAAUGGGGUAUAACAAUACCCAAAACUAAAAUAAACUAUCUGAAAACAUGUUGUAGUUUGAAAGCCUCUAAACUAUCUGAAAUCUAUGAAGUUGAUGGGAUAUGCCCCCAACUAACUCUGAACUACUGAAAUAAUAAAGUAAUAAACUAACCAUGCUAUCCUCGAAUGAUGAGGACUCACUGCUAGUCUGUUGUUGAAUGUCUGAUCUACUAUGGAAGCUCGGGAGCUCAAGCUUCAAAACUUAAGGUAUAAAACACCAUAGCACAAAUACGUUAGUAUAUUAAAUGUACUGGUAUGCAAGUGAGGUAGGAUGAAUACAAGGGGUUGAUAUGCAUAAACAAUACAAAUUGACUAACAUGAAUGUGAGAAUACAUGCAUGUAUAUGUAAUAGUAACUGGGAUUAUGAUAAUGCUGAAUCAUGAAUUCUGAUAAUAUGGAUUUACUGAUAUCUGAUUACUAAUAUUGGGAUACUAAAUAACGAGUCUAUUGAGUAUCGAGGAACUCAUAUCAUAUUACUGAUAAAGGAAUGACUAUUUUUGAUAUUUCUGAUUAUGAAGAACUGGUCUGAUUGACUGUAUAUGACAGUCUUGAAACUGAAUACUGAUAACAUGACUUUCGUAUAAUUAAUAUACUAUUAAAUGGGUUUGUGAUAACAAGAUUACUGAAUUUGAUACUGAUAACAUGAGUGACUGUAUCUGACAGUCCUAACAUUGAUAGAACUAGCUGAGUUCCAUACUGUACUGAGUUGAUUAUAUCUGAUAUCCUAGAUUUCUAUAGAACUGAACUGAGUUCUAUUUUUGAGACUAGAUUUGAAACUGACAAUAUGGGAGCUAAUCAUCUAACCAACAUGCCCCAGAAUUGAUUGGUUUGGUCCAACCUGUAACCCCAGCUGGAAGGAUGUCAGUACCGUGCCAUGGGUAAAAAUAAGCUAUGAGGUUACCCUCUCUAAUGCGAAGCUCUUUCGUCAACCCUCCUAUAGGAAUAAAUCCAAACAAGAUGUAUUAGUAGCCCUACGCAUAGGAGUAUAUCUUAACCUACGCUGGCUACAUAGUUCUUGAAUGUAAGGAUUGCUUCUAGGGAUCACAUCUUCCAUUUAAUAAUAGGUGAGUACCCAUCCUUGGGUUCACUUGGUGCUAAAUCCUACUCCCAACUGAAUAGACAUUGGAUUGGUUAUAUUGAACUGAACUGUUACUGAUGGUAUUGUUUAGAGGAGCUAAACUGAGUUCGCUGAGUUUUGUUGACUGACAGAAUGCUACUGAUAUCUGAGGACCAUUUAAGGGUAUUGAAUUCACUGAUAUUUUUAGGGAAUACAGAGAUCACUGACAUUACUGAACUAUUAAGAUUACUAAGAUUUCUGGAAGAGACUGGGCUGAUACUGAAUUUAUUGAGUUUUCCUGAGUCAUGAGACUGACUAAAUUCUACUGAUCAUUGCUUGACUGAGAUUAUCGUGAAAACAUGACAUGGCUCUAGGAACACAACUAAAUUAUUGAGUACAAGUACCCCCAGGACUCGAUAGAAUGAAACUGACAAGGCGACACUUUUGAUCACAUAACUAAUAUCAACAAUUCAUAAUUUCAUAGUUGGGAAUUUCAUAAAGCACAUGAUCAUCUUAAUGUUGUACAUGGAUAGUAAUGCAUAUAAACAUGGCAUAAUUUCAUACUUCUAAUCUUACGAACAUCUCAUCAAGCAAUCACAAUACAUAGGUUUUGCAUGGGAAUCAUCUUAAUCAAGUAGGUAUAGUAUAACUUAAGAGGCAUGGCAUGAUCUUGAUACAUGGAAACUAAAUACUUAAUCAUCAUUCAUUCAUUAGGGCAUAUUAUCAAAUACCUUGCAUGCAUACUUAGGGCAUAGGAAUUAUCAUUAAUUUAACACAACAUGGUUCCACAAUUUAACUCAAUUGCAUAAGUUUCAACCCUAUAAUAACAUAGUUUCAUGAAAACAUGAUAAGGAUGCAAUCUUGGCAAUCAUAUAACAAUAACAACAUGAACAUAAUCAAUUCAAAAUAAGAACAUCAUGACAUAUAGUUUAAAAUCAGGUUCUUGAGCUUCAUGGAUGAAAGGAGUCCAUGAAUCAACAUUUUGCAUACCUUAGUUCUUGAUUCUACAAAGAUUGAUGAAGAGAUUCUUGAAUUUGAGUCUUGAAUUUGAAUCCCCAAUUGAAAACCCAAAAUUGUUCUUGAGAGAAACUUGAGAGAAACAAUAUAUUGUGAGUGAAAUCUGGCUAAAUCACAUGUUAUUGGGUAUAUAUAGGGGUGAGAAAUUAACCCUUUUAACCCCUGAACACGUAUUUUAAUUCUGUGAAAAUUUUUCGAUUUGGACCCCUAGCGCGAUGCGGCGCUAUCGCGCUGUGUCUCUGGGAAAUGCCAAAUGGGAAAUUAGAUGGUGGCGCGACGCAGAGCUAUCACGUUACCACUUUUUUUGUGACCUAGAAGUUUGGCGUGAUGCGCUACUAUCACGGAGAAAUACUGGAAAUUGACAAUUGCUAUUUAAGCUGGCUUUGCGAUGUGCUGAUGGCUCAGGUGAUACACUGCCUCACUAAAAAGGCUCUAACUCUUCUUUCAGGUAUCAGAUUUUGGAGAAAUUUAUAUCGAUGGAAAGCUUAUUCAAUUUUCCACAUUAUAAAAAGUCAAAAUCUUGAAAAUGCCACAUGUAUAUAAGUGGAUUCAUCUUUAAAACAAGUCUUUAACAUUUCUAGGAUGAUUUUUAAGCUAAGUAGAAAUACGGGGUAUUACAAAAAGUCUAUUCUUAUGAUUUAUUAUUCAUGUUUAUGAUCUUAAAAUCUUUGUUUUAUUCAAUUUCAAGGUGUUUCACUUAUACUUACUAUGCAUCAUUUAGAAGUUUAUAGGUAUAGUCAGUUAAUUAUUCAUUUACCCCCAUAUACUCAAUGCAUUUUAAAAGUACUGACUCACAUAUAUAUAUUUGUGCUACGUUAUCUUAUAAUGUAUGUUCUGGUGCUUGUUUCAGCAGCCCAAUUGACUAUGGGCAUCAUCACCUACAUCCUAACUUUUGGUGAGUUGUCAUAGUCCGAAGACCCAAUUCUCAGAUAUCUGUUCGUUGUUGAUAGUGUUUUAGUUAUCUGAUUUCUAGUUAUGUUCGGGUCAAUUGGUGCCUAUCCAGUGCCUCCCUAGUCAUGAGUAGAGGCUUGUCAGAUUGUUUAUGUCUUAAUUUCAAAGAGUUAUUUAAAUAUUUCUAAGUUAAAGACUUUUGUUAAGAUAUGGAAUCUUUUACCUUCAAGUUUCUUUAAAUGUUAGUCCACUUCUCAUAUGAGAUUCAAGAUAAAUAAAUAUCAUGGGUUAUCUUAGGGCUAUUCGUAGUCUUAAGUACCGUGUGACAUUCAGCGGGUACUUAUGGGGCAUUACAAAUAUCCUAAACAUAAGUCAAGUCAAAAAUUGACAGUACACAUAUGGGAGGGUGAAAAAUUAAUUUAUUGAAAUAUUGUAGGGUUUUAUAGUUUGAAGUUGACAUCCAAUAUUGUCCUUACCAAGUGAUCCAAAGAAUGAGACCAGUAGCUUACAAUCUAGCACUACCCUCUACUACUAAUAUACAUCUCAUUUUUCAUAUUUCUUAGCUCAAAAGAAAGGUUGGUAAACAUGUGGUGCCUGCCAUUGGUCCUUCAAUCAAUUCAUCAGAAGGCCAACCUCUAGUUGAACCAAUUGCUAUACUUGACAUGAGUAUUUUAAAUAAAUAUAAUAGGAUGCUACAUAGAUACUAGUGCAUUAGGAAAAUCUGUUAAAAAAAAACAACUUGGGAAGACUAUCAAUUUAUGUAAGACCUCAUAAGAUCUUAGCUUAAUCUAGCUUACUAUUGCGUGUUAAAGGGGUCCAAGACUUAGAAAAUUUCACUAAGUGUUAAGACUUAGUCAAUUUCAAAGCCCCUUAAACUUCAAUGAUUUUACUUUUGACCUUUCCAGCCUUAGAAUGUUGAUUUUAAAGUUGUUUCAUGAUCAGGGGUGUCAAAGGUGCAUCUCAGGUAAGUUUUAGAAUUUUUAGACGAGCGUAAGGGUAUGUUUAGAAGUUCAAAUAGUAGCACAACUGGGAUAAGACCGUGUCGCAAGACCCAUUCCACCGGUAGGGGUGCCCACGACAGAGCCCAUGGUGCGUGGUCCAGUGUGGCAUACUAGAGCCUGUGGUGUGUGCUUUAUCAUGCCCCCCUUAAUUUCUAGCUUUUAGUCACAUUUUUCCAAGGGCAUUUGGGUCUUUCCCUUCACCCAAUUGAUCCAUAAAACGGGAUUUAGAGUCCCAAAAUCUAUGGAGUCCAAGAAUCCAUUUUCAAGUUUAAAACUAUGAUUUUUACAUGUUAUAAUACAUUAUCUUUAAGAACCUAUUAUGAACUUUGAUUUCAAUUAUGUUUACCAUGUGUUUUCAUUGGAAUUUUCCCUUGGAACAUUUGAAUGGUGAUUUUUGCAUGUUACAUACUCAAACCAUGAUUUUAGCAUUUUGAUUAUAUUAUUAUCACAUGAUUUAACUAUUCUCAUACUUUAACUUAUAACCCUCAUGUGUUUGAUGAAGUGCCUAGGUGUUGAAUAUUGAACAAGGAUUCCCCUAUAUGGUUUUAAAGUUUUCAUGUGGUCCUAUUGUUAUUGCUAUUGAGUCCUGGGGUUAUGAAUACCAAAAAUUUAGCUAUUUACUUUGUCUCAAUAUUUUUAGAAUGGUUUCAAACACGUAUGAGCAUUGUCAGUUCAGUCAGUUAUCAUGUCAGUCAAACUUAGAUCAGUUCAGUAAUCAGUGUUAAUUUAGUUGGGAGUGAGAUUCAGCAUCGAGUGAAACUAGGGAUGGGGGAUCACUGAACAGUAAGGACUGGGUCCUUAGUAGCAGUCCUUAAGUUCCAGAACUACAUAGCCAGCAUAGCAUAAAGAGAUGUCACCAGCCAGUUUAGGACUGACAUUCUCUCAAGGAUUACCUACCAGCUUAGGACUAAUCUCAGAGGUCAGUCGCUAGUUUAGGACUUACUCCACAACUAUUUUUAGUACCCGUGGCAUGUUACUAGCACCCUUUCAACUGGGGUCACAUGUUGGACCCCUAUCAACUCAGAUUUUGGGUAUGUCGGUCAGAUGAUACCUCCCAUAGUUUCAGUCUCAAUUCAGUAUUUAGUAUAGAAUUCAGUUUCAGGUUUGUUAGGCCAUAGCAUACAUUUAUCAGUUAUUCAGUUAUUAGUGUUUUGGUAUUUUAGUUUAUAGACUAAUUUAGAAUCAAGUUAUAUGCUUGGUCAUGCCUUCUCAGAUUUUAUAUUUUUCAUAUAUUUGAACUCAGUCAUCUCAUGCUAUUCAUUCAGUCAUUAUCUUAUUCGCAUGAGUCUGUAUUUCAUCCUAACCCCAUCUCACAUACCAGUACAUUCAAAGUACUGAUCGCAUACAUUUUCUUUGUGUUAUGAUAUCUUAUAUCAUAGGUUCAAAUGCUCUCUUUCCUGACUGUACUUAGACAAAUUAACCUAUUAGUAGAAGCAUUCAUGGUGAGUCCUUCUGUAUCAAGGACCGUUCACGUUUAUUUCAGUAUUUUAGUUUAGUAGUCAAUCGAAGUUAGUUAGGGACUUAUCCCAUUAACUCCUUAGUUAGUUAGAGGCUUUUCAGACUAUUUCAAACAGUUAGCUAGUUUAUCAGUUGUUAUCAUCAGUAUUAUCAGUAUUAUUUUCAGACAUUUUUUUAGAACUAUGAUUUAAAUCAUAUGUUUCAAUAUUAAAACCUUUGGGAUUAUUUAGUUAUUUCCGCCCAUGUGUAUCUUAUUACCUUAUUUUUCAGUGCCCAUAGCAGGUACCAGUUCAUGCGUUAGCUUGUGGUCUUUUGGGUUUGUAAGCACCGUAUGGCAUCCAGGGUGUACUCCCAGGUCGUUACAAACUUGGUAUUAGAGACUAAGGUUUUACAGUUUCCUAGGGAGUUUGCAAGCCAUGUUGAGUAGAGUCUUGUGCAUGUGUGUGAAGCAUACCACACUUAUGGACAGGAGGAUACAAAAUGUUUUAAGAAAAUUUUCCCUUCUUUUAGUGUUCAUGUCGUGCGAAAGAGCAUGAUCUCAAUUUGAACUUCCUUUCUCAUUUAUUCUCCCCUUCCAUUUACAAAAAAUACCUUCUAAAAAGAACAACAGAAGAAGUAAUGGAAACUAGAUCGCCCCUCCACCUAUUCAUAAAGAUCCCCUUAAUGUGUAUAUCUCUCACGUUAAAUUCAGAGCUAUUUUAAUUACCUUAACUCAUUCAGUAGGUACUCAGAACUAUUAGUAGGCUGUUGUCCUAUCUAGACUUAUGGAUUGUGCUCAGUAGCAGGAAGAAAGAAAGAGUAAGAGGGCAAGAACAUGUGGUUUUAUUCUAAGGUCAGAGGGUGAUGACCAUUCCUAGUUUUGUUAGAAAUUCUUAGCCUUAGCUUCGCCUUUAGUCAGUACACCAGUGCCUAAGUUUAGGAAUAACAGUUGAGAUAGAGCACCAGGCUCUAAGUCAUAGGGUAGUGGGAAAAGUGUUUGUACUAAUCCGCUUUAUGGAGAAUGUGGUAGGAAUCAUAAGGGUGUGUGUAGAGCGGAUAGUGAUGUAUGUUUUGGGUGUGGCGAGCUAGGACACAAAGUUAGAUAUUGCCCAACAAAUGGUCAAUGGUGUCAAUCCAACCAUCCUCCAGUUCCAUCUAGUCUCCCGACUCAGCAGGGCGCCACUUCUAGUGCCACCAAUGGCCAGCAUCAUAAUAGAUUAUAUGACCUUCAGACCUUUCAUGACCAAGAAAGUUCUCCUAAUAUGGUUACGGGUACGUUACAAGUCUUUUAUUUACAUGUUUAUACUCUGUUAGAUCCUGGAGCUUUUCUUCUUUGUCCCUAGACUCUAGAAAAACGCUUCUCAGUGUUUACCCCAAUGGGUAAAUCUAUCAUAGCUAGACGAGUAUACAGAAACUGCCCAGUUAUAAUAUCCCAGAAAAUCACUUCGGUUGAUUUUAGAAAUAGAGUCAUUCAUUUUUAGUUUCCUAAUAAACCAGUCAUCAAAUGGAGUGGUAGUACCACAGUGCUUAGGGGUCAGAUGUAUUUUAAAUCCCUUUUCAGAAUCCUAUAAUAGCAUAUGACCUAGAGUUAGAGGCAUGAACCCAGGAGUUUAGUAGCAGUAAAGUGGAGAUAGUAUUAUCUGGAUUUAGUAAAUUUUGUAUCCAUGGGGCUAGUUGUAUGAAGGUGAAUCACUAGGAUUGAACAGUGCAUGUAAGAAUUUAAGUUGAUGAUUCAAAAUAUAGGUAUAGAGAUGUGAUAUUAGUAAGCUAUAAAGUAAGUUAGUAUGGUUCAUUAAGAGUUUGAGAAUAUCCAUUUUAAGUGUUAGAAUCUAAGUUUGAGUUUUUGAAGAUUGAACUAAUAGGAAGUAGAGUUGAAGCACUAGAUGGUAUGAACUUAUGGUAUGGUGAUACUCCUGAAUAAAAAUUCUAACUAAGUCAAUUCUUAAGUUAUUGUAUCAUGAUUGUUGGGGCUAUAGAAAGCUAAGAAUUGUGUCUCAGAAGGAAGUACUAGCAGUGGGCCUUACAUUAUCAGGUGUAGUUUUUCAGGGUAAGUGUAGUAGUUAUUGUAUUAUUAUGUCUCAGACUCUAGAGUACAGUGAUUGUAGUUCAAUUUAGAGUUAUUUGAUAGGGGUCCAUAGACUUAGAGUGAUGGCUUAAAGCUAAGGGAGAGAUGAUAGAGCCAGUAACAAAUUCAAGCUCUCAAGUUCUAGUAGUGAUGCCAGUGUAUUAUAGAACAUCAGUAGGGAAGAUGAUGCCCGACCCAUUAUCAUAUCAGUUUAAAGUUUUGUACUUCAGUCAUCAUGAUAUCUACUCAUGCCUUACAUGUCAGCUCUAUGAUCAUAGCUCAUAUUCAUGCACCUUAUGGAAAAUCAUGUACUCUCCUAGUUUAUAAUGUGAAGAGUUCAAAUCCACUCAGUAGUAUGAAUCAUGUUCCAUGAAUUCAGGAACUCCAAACUCAGGUUACGUAACUCAUGACUCAUGUACUCAUUCAGUACUCAUGCUACACUCUUAAUGAUCAGCAAACUUCAGACUAUGUCAUGUACAACCUCAAUUUUGAUCUAUGUAAUCAAUCCAUGAAGUUGAUACUCUAUUACUUAGGCCUCAACAAAGUGUCGAGUCAUGCAUAGUAUCUUUUCAUGUUUUAGGUCCUCAUGUUCUAACCUUUCAAUGACUUUUCCUUAGUUCAAGAUAGCGAUGAUGAACAGUUGUUUAGAUGGGAAAGAGCGAAUGUUUCUUGUUGAUGAAAGAUUGUUGUAUGUUUGUUUUAGCUAAGAAUACAAGUAUGAAGUAAGAUUGAGGCCAUGUUUUUGAUAUAUGUCAUGUUUAUUUGAAAUUUUUUGUAUGUUUUCUUGGGGUAGUGUAUGGAAGUUGUUAAUGAUAGAGGUUUGGUGGAUAUGUGGAAGAUGCUUUCAUGGGUGUUUAUUUAGAAGGAUUAAUGUGGUUAUAAUGAUAGGCUUGAAUGUCAUGUUGGUAUAUAUAAGUGGAUGGAUGCAUUGCAUGUUAGAAAAUGGCUAGUAAGAGAUUGAACGUAAAUAUUGAAGAGGUAAUAAGAAUUAUUCGUAAGAUAGGAAGUUGUGAAAAUAUAGGGUGUGUCGAAUUCAUGAUUCAGACUAGUAUUAAAGUGUUAUGUGUGCACUUUGUAGAUUCGAGUAGGCUUGAACAUAUUGAGAGAAUUCAUGCUUAGGGGUCAGAUGUAUUUUAAAUCCCUUUUCAGAAUCCUAUAAUAGCAUAUGACCUAGAGUUAGAGGCAUGAACCCAGGAGUUUAGUAGCAGUAAAGUGGAGAUAGUAUUAUCUGGAUUUAGUAAAUUUUGUAUCCAUGGGGCUAGUUGUAUGAAGGUGAAUCACUAGGAUUGAACAGUGCAUGUAAGAAUUUAAGUUGAUGAUUCAAAAUAUAGGUAUAGAGAUGUGAUAUUAGUAAGCUAUAAAGUAAGUUAGUAUGGUUCAUUAAGAGUUUGAGAAUAUCCAUUUUAAGUGUUAGAAUCUAAGUUUGAGUUUUUGAAGAUUGAACUAAUAGGAAGUAGAGUUGAAGCACUAGAUGGUAUGAACUUAUGGUAUGGUGAUACUCCUGAAUAAAAAUUCUAACUAAGUCAAUUCUUAAGUUAUUGUAUCAUGAUUGUUGGGGCUAUAGAAAGCUAAGAAUUGUGUCUCAGAAGGAAGUACUAGCAGUGGGCCUUACAUUAUCAGGUGUAGUUUUUCAGGGUAAGUGUAGUAGUUAUUGUAUUAUUAUGUCUCAGACUCUAGAGUACAGUGAUUGUAGUUCAAUUUAGAGUUAUUUGAUAGGGGUCCAUAGACUUAGAGUGAUGGCUUAAAGCUAAGGGAGAGAUGAUAGAGCCAGUAACAAAUUCAAGCUCUCAAGUUCUAGUAGUGAUGCCAGUGUAUUAUAGAACAUCAGUAGGGAAGAUGAUGCCCGACCCAUUAUCAUAUCAGUUUAAAGUUUUGUACUUCAGUCAUCAUGAUAUCUACUCAUGCCUUACAUGUCAGCUCUAUGAUCAUAGCUCAUAUUCAUGCACCUUAUGGAAAAUCAUGUACUCUCCUAGUUUAUAAUGUGAAGAGUUCAAAUCCACUCAGUAGUAUGAAUCAUGUUCCAUGAAUUCAGGAACUCCAAACUCAGGUUACGUAACUCAUGACUCAUGUACUCAUUCAGUACUCAUGCUACACUCUUAAUGAUCAGCAAACUUCAGACUAUGUCAUGUACAACCUCAAUUUUGAUCUAUGUAAUCAAUCCAUGAAGUUGAUACUCUAUUACUUAGGCCUCAACAAAGUGUCGAGUCAUGCAUAGUAUCUUUUCAUGUUUUAGGUCCUCAUGUUCUAACCUUUCAAUGACUUUUCCUUAGUUCAAGAUAGCGAUGAUGAACAGUUGUUUAGAUGGGAAAGAGCGAAUGUUUCUUGUUGAUGAAAGAUUGUUGUAUGUUUGUUUUAGCUAAGAAUACAAGUAUGAAGUAAGAUUGAGGCCAUGUUUUUGAUAUAUGUCAUGUUUAUUUGAAAUUUUUUGUAUGUUUUCUUGGGGUAGUGUAUGGAAGUUGUUAAUGAUAGAGGUUUGGUGGAUAUGUGGAAGAUGCUUUCAUGGGUGUUUAUUUAGAAGGAUUAAUGUGGUUAUAAUGAUAGGCUUGAAUGUCAUGUUGGUAUAUAUAAGUGGAUGGAUGCAUUGCAUGUUAGAAAAUGGCUAGUAAGAGAUUGAACGUAAAUAUUGAAGAGGUAAUAAGAAUUAUUCGUAAGAUAGGAAGUUGUGAAAAUAUAGGGUGUGUCGAAUUCAUGAUUCAGACUAGUAUUAAAGUGUUAUGUGUGCACUUUGUAGAUUCGAGUAGGCUUGAACAUAUUGAGAGAAUUCAGUUCAACUCAGACUUUAGUAGGUAGAGUUAUCAACAUCCAUGUGAAUAUUUUUAAGUAGCCUUAAGUGAACUGCAAUUUUGAAGUAAAAUGUAUAGUUGAGUAUAAGCUUUUAGUAUAAUUGAGUCCAUUUAGCUAGCAGUUCAGUUAGUAGUCAGACAGACAAGUUCUUAUGGUUUUUCCAUCUUUCGAUCUAGUCUUACUAUUUGAUGUUUCAUGAAUAUGACCAUUCCAAGAGAUAGUUUAUCCACAUCUAUGUAAAUUGUGAACCCAGUUCAGUCCAUGCAUCAUAUUUCAGAUUCCAGAUAUUCAGUCAUAAUUCAGUUCGUAAGUGCCCCGUGCAUUAUCUCAAUCUUUCCUUAGUAUUUCAGCCAAGUCAGUAUCAUUCGAGGGAUGAAAUAUCCCAAGGGGGAGUUGAUGUAACACCCAAGUUUUCAUAUCCUAAAUCUUUCAUCUUUUCUCUAUGAAACAAAAUCCAGCUUGAAGUAAUAGGUACUCAUAAGUUGACUCUCUGAUUUUAUCUCAGCCUUCUAACCAUUCUCAUGUCCUUGCAUGUAUUCACGAAAUCAGUUUAGCCAUGUAUCAUAUUUUAGAGUCAGUCACGUAAUAAUGUUUCCAGUUAUGCAUGUUCAGUAUAUAAUCUCAGUUCCUCAGUGUUCUCAGCAAAUCAGUCCCAUUUGAGGACGAAUAUUCCCAAGGGGAGAUAUUGUAAGACCCCAUAAGAUCUUAGCUCAAUCUAGCUUUACUAUUGCAUGUUAAAAGGGUCCAAGACUUAGAAAAUUUCACUAAGUGUUAUACUAAGUAAAUUCCAAAGCCUCAUAAACUUCGAUGAUUUUAUUUUUGACCUUCCCAGCCUUAGAAUGUCGAUUCUAAAGUUGAUUCAUGAUCAGGGGUGUCAAAGGUAUAUCUCGGAUAAGUUUCAGAAUUUUUGGAAAAGCGUAAGGGCAUGUUUGAAAGUCCAAAAUAGUAGCAUCACUGAGAUAAGCCCGCGUCACGCUCCCCAAUUAUCUAGUAGGGGUUCCCGCGACAGAGCCCAGGAUGCAUGCUUUUAUUCGUAGGACCUGAGCCCGCAAUGCAUACUCCAUCAUGGCCCCCUUAAUUUCUAGCUUUCAAUCACGUUUUCAAGGGAAUUUGGGUCUUUUCCCUUCACCCAAUUGAUCCAUAACAUGGGAUCUAGAGUCCCAAAAGCAUUAUUUGCCAUCUUUUACACAAAAUUCCCUUAAUAGAAAGAAAUCAUCUCUCAAGAACAAACCCUAGCCUUUUCAUAAUUCAAGUUCAAACUUCAAGAAAUCACCAAGAACCUUCACGAAUUGUUCAAUUAAGGUAUGUGCGAUGUUCAUUCAUGGGUUCUUUUCACCCAUGGAGUCCAGGAAUCCAUUUUCAAGUUUAAAUCCAUGAUUUUUUACAUAUUAUUAUAAGUUAUCUUCAAGAAGCUAUUAUGAAUUUUGAUUUCAAUUAUGUUUACUAUGUGUUUUCAUUGGAAUUUUCCCUUGGCACGUUUGAAUAGUGAUUUUCAAAUGUUACAUCCUCAACCCAUGAUUUUAGUAUUUUGAUUUUGUUAUUAUCAUAUGAUUUAACUAUUCCCAUGCUUUAACUAAUGACCCUCAUGUGUUUGAUGAAAUGCCUAGGUGUUGAAUAUUGAACAAGGAUUCCCCUCUAUGGUUUUAAAGUUUUCAUGUGGUCUUAUUGUUAUUGCUAUCGAGUUCUGGGGGUUAUGAAUUCCCAAAAUUUAUCUGUUUACUUAGUCUCAGUAUUUUCAGAAUAGAUUUAGACACGUAUGAUCAUUGACAGUUCAGUAAAUUAUUAUGUCAGUCAAACUUAGAUCAGUUUAGUAAUUAGUGUCAGUUAAGUUGAGAGUAGGAUUCAGCACCGAGCGAACCUAGGGAUGGGGGCUCACCCGCCAGUUAGGAAUGGGUCCUUAGUAGUAGUCCCUAAGUUCUAGAACUAUGUAGCCAGCGUAGGAUUAAUAGAUGUCACCCUCCAGUUUAGGAUUGAUAUUCUCUUAAGGAUCACCUGCCAGCUUAGGACUGAUCUCAUGGGUCACCUGCCAGUUUAGGACUGACUUCACAUCCAUUUUUAGUACUCAUGGUAUGAUACUAGAACCCUUCCAACUGGGGUCACAGGUUGGACUCCUAUCAACUCAUAUUUAAGGCAUGUUGGUUAGAUGAUACCUCCUAUAGUUUCAGUCUCAAUUCAGUAUUUAGUAUAGAAUUCUAUUUCAAGUUUGUUUGACCAUAGCAUACAAUUAUCAGUUAUUCAGUUAUCAGUAUUUUAGUUUUUCAGUUACAGACUAAUUCAGAAUCAGGUUAUAUGCUUGGUCAUGCAUUCUUAGAUUUUAUAGUUUUCAUGCAUUUGAACUCAGUCAUCUCAUGCUAUUCAUUCAGUGACUAUCUCAUGUACAUAAGCUUAUGUAUUUUAGUCUAACCUCAUCUCGCAUACCAGUACAUUCAAAGUACUAUUCGCAUAUAUUUCUUUACGCUAUGAUGUCUUAUAUCACAUGUUUGAGCACUCAGUUUCUUGACCACGCUUAGAUAGAUCUACCUAUCAACAGAAGUAGUCGUGGUGAGUCCUCAUAUAUCGAAGAUCUUUCAUGUUUAUUUUAGUAUUUUAGUUCACCAGUUAGUUGUAGUUAGUUAGGGGCUUAUCCCAUCAGCUUCUCAGUCAAUUAGAGUCUUCUCAAACUAUUUCAGACAGUUAGCCAGUUUAUCAGUUGUUAUCAUCAGUUUUAUCAAUAUUGUUUUCAGAAAUUUUUCAGAACUAUGAUUUAAAUCAUAUGUUUCAAUACUUAAAACCUUUGACACUAUUAAGUUAUUUUCACACAUGUGUAUCUUAUUACCUUAUUAUUCAGUGCUCAUAGCAGGUACUUGUUCAUAGGUUAGCUUGUGGUGUUUUGGGACUGUAAGCACUGUAUGGCGUCCAGGGUGUACUCCCAGGUUGUUACAAUUUAUCAAGUCAUAAUUCCUUGAUUUUAAGGAUCCUUGAAGACUAGGUCUUAUUUUAAGGAGGUGGAUUGUCAUAAAAGUCUAUUUGUGACUUAAUUUUAAUUAAGUUUCAAUUUAAAAGUUUAGUCCUCUAAGUUUUAAUUAUUUAAGUCAUGUAUUUACUUUUUAGUCCCUGUAGUUAGUUAGUUUAAUUACUAUGGACUCCUUAAUUCUAUUAUUAGACGGGGACAAGUGUCACCUGAUAAUAUAAGAUUCCAACCUAUAUCUGUUAGCAUUCUUAACUAAUUUUCUCUUUUCUUCUCUCGUUCUCUUUCUCUUUUAUUUCCCUAGAUAAUCAAUAGCAAGAGGAUUAAUCCAUCAAAAAUGUGAAACCAAAAGAGAAAGUUAGAUUGGGUACUUUUGUAAUUGACAUGUAUUAAUUAGGUUUACAUUAAUGGAAGACUUUAAUAACAUGUCUCAGAAUAAAUAUUAUUUAGAGCUAAGGAUGGAAUUAUAUUGAUGUGUACUCUUAUUUAUGAUGUUAGAUUCAAAAAAGAUGAAGAUACACCUCAAGCCAUGUCCGAGAUAUAAUUCCCUAAUAUGCUACCUGUAUUUUUUGUGAAAGAAGCACUGUUUACAUAUUCAUAUGCAGUAAGGAAGCCCUUAUAUCUAGAUGUGGACACAAUUAAUAAAACCAUUCCUAGUUAUGUUAGGCUUAAAUUUUAAGUGAAUUUGGUGGGUAAAAUUCUCAAAUAUGCUGAUAGAGAUUACAGAAGAAAGCAUGAGAGAAAUAAAAAAAGAGAAAGUAAGGAUCUAAUAUGACUUUCUACCUAAGUACUGCACAAAUUGUAAAAGGGUUUACAAUGACGAAUGUUUGUUCUACAUCCAAAAUUAUGCACGAGGACUGAUACUAUUGAAUAAAAGUUAGAUAAUUUAGAGAAUCAGAGAGAAGGAAAACAACACCAAGGAGAACAAAACAAGCAAACCCUACUAAGAAAUUUUUUCCUACGAAGUUUUUUUCUAUUAAAGGGUAGUUGGAAAUCCUAAGAUAUGGAAUACUAUGAAAGAUAAUAGUGUAUUUGACAAGGUUAAUAUUGGUAACUCUAAAGAUAUUACCAAUGUAAACACCUACAACAAUUAUGAGGAUCUAAACAAUUACCAAGAAUCUUCAAAAAAUAAGGUGGAUAAACAAAUAAAGGAGAACAAGGAGUCAGACAAGGAAGGGAUCAUAGUAAGAAGAGACUCAAUCAACCAAAGAGGUAGAUCACAUAGAGAAGUAAUUAAAAACAAGAUAUUGAGUGGAUAAAGUUUGUACCCAUAGCACAAGUAAUAACAACAAUAAAGAUAAGGGAGAUAGAGUGGAAGAAGAAUAUAGGUGGAACUAUAGUGGAGAAAAAGCGAAAAUCCUUCUAGGAAAAGCAAUGUAAUAAUAGGUAACAAAGAAGAAUAUAAAGAGGUUAAUAACUCUAAUCAAAAGGAGGAGAUGAUACAAAACUCAAAAAGAAUAAUGAUAAAGGUUUUAUUGAAAACAAACUUCUCAAAAUCACAAGAUCCAAUUGAAGAAGAGAAGAAGUUGGUGAAAAUCUAAAAAAUACUGAAUGUACAAAAAUAGAUUUGCAUUUCAAAGUAAGUCCUAGCAUUCUUCAGAUGAUUUCUAGCUAGGAAAAGGCACGGGUAUUACAUAAACAUACAGAAGUGACUGCUUGAACGAAGAUUGACCUUUAAAGGGGGAUGUACAAUAGGGAAAGUUACUGCUAAAGCGACACCGCAGUCACUUAAGCAACAUCUACUAAAGCAGACAAGUAUCACUAAAGCAGGCCUCGACGAAGUAGCCAAGUACUACUAAAGCUGUUGCACCAGCUACCGUAAACCAACAAAUUUUCUAAGUCAAAAUGGACUCUGAUCGGGUGCUUAGAAUUCAUUCGAAACUCCAAGCAUGGAAACACGUUUUGCUACCCUACAAAAUUUGAAAUUUUGGACUCAACAAAAUCAUUGAACUCUCUAUCCAAGGUCAUUUUGAUAAAAAAAGUGGGCCCCAUACCCACUAUUUUAUUUUUCAUUAAAUUCCACCUAUUAUCCCAAAAUGAGCUUGGAAGCUUCUAGAUUCGGACCAAGGUUUCCUAACCUAAAAUCCAUCUUCUAGAGUUAAUGAAAAUGUCAAGUUUCUCAUCCGAGAUUAUUUUCUAUAUGUUUUGGUCCAAUACAAAUUUCUCAACUCUAAAAGCUCUAAAACAAAAAUAGGCUAAAUACCCAAAUGAACUACCCAACAUCAAAUUGACCAUUCGGAAAAGUCAUAAAUGACUUGUAUCCACUACGGGAAAGCAUAAAAUACCAAAAACAAUGGAAAUGGAGGAAAUGGACUAGAGGGUCAUUACAAUAUCCACUACUAAAAGUACUUUCGUCCUUAAAAGUUAAUGGAUAAAAAGAGCUUGAAAGCUCAAAGGGAUGAGGUACUAGGCCUUCAUACCCUGCAAGUCUCACCAGACAACCUUUUAGGCAUAUACUAAAAGGUUCUCGCGAGGGAUAAAAUUGACAUAUUGCCAAAAGACAUAAUCAUAAUAGAGGAAAGCCACAGGCUAAAGAUAUGAGAAAGUGAAUCCACACUCGCUGAGGGCACAACACACCAAGGCAUAAUUAUGAACUUACUAAGACUGCAAAGAGUCCUAACGGUAGUCGAAUUUUGAGCAACUUAGAUAAAAUGGUCACUAAUACUCAUUCCCUAGAGUCACACCCUUUGGUUUUCAACAACUGAUACAUAAGAACACACCUCCAAGUGAAAGCAUUCCAUGAAGUCAUACUAGGCUGAACAAAUCUCAAAAUGAGAAAGUACUGAAAUCACCUAUCUAAAGUUUCAUCAACUCAACUGAACCACGAACAAUAACACAGAAAUAAUAGAGUAACCAACUCGACAUGAACACUAAGAUCAAGGAUGAUGAACCAGCCAAACUGAAAGAACAAACCUCAACCUACCAACCUUUGAAACGGCUAGACAAAAGGAUUGCCAACUCUAGGAUCAUAAAAAACAAUAAAAGGCCAACUAUGCCUUCCCAAAACUCUCCCAGUAACUGAUUUAACCUUGCUGAUAAAAGGAAAAACCAUCCGACAAUGGUUCUAAGCCAAACAAACAAGAACUGCAAGAAUGGAAAUACUACUUAGGUAACACUAGUCUAGCUGUCUAUUAAGUAAGAAUCAAUCAAUCAUCAACACAAUGGCAAUAAUAAAAAUAAUAUAAGGCUUAGGUAUCACAAAAUGAAAAAUAAGAUACUAUUCUAUGAUCAUAGUAAGGCCAAUAUGCCAAAGGAAAUAAGAUUUACCCAAGUGCUCCACCCAAGUCAAACAUAAUACUAAUCUACUCAAUCCACUACUAAAAGAAAAUAUCUAUGGGCAUAGUCAUAUAUGCAUAAAUCUACACAAUGGACUAAAAUAAUUAAUGCAAUAAUAUCAAGUCAUACAAUUGUCGAUGCAUAUGAAAAUCCCAACUAAAUUCAAAUUGAACUAAAAGGAUAAGAAGAUCAAAAGUGCACCUAUAAUAAUAGAAUCUGAGUUAGAGUACUUGACCUGCCUAAAAAAGUGAAUCUGAAUGCGUCUGACCCCGAACUAAGCAUUUAAAUGAUCAACUGAACUACCAAGGGCUUCACCUUUAGACGAAGGUGCAACAACCUUGUGAGAUUAAUCUAGCUGUACUGACUACUCAAUAAUGACAUACUGGGGAUGCUCUCUAGACCAAUGAUGGUCUCUCUAGAAUUGUAACAAACCCUAAAGCUCCAACCUAGUGAGAAGCAUGAGCUAACCCAACCGGCUGACCAACUUAUGCGUAGGUCACUUCUAGAUUAGUGACCAAUCUUCCAAUAAUUAAAACAUGUCUCUUGAACUCUCUGAUGCAACAUACCUACUGACCCUGAACGAUGCCUCGGCCUAAAAACCUAGAUCAAUAACUAUAUAGUACCCAACCAGAACUCCUCUACCCAUUAUGACCACCACAACUGGUUUGAGAUUCACCUAUAAUCUGAAGCUUUAUUUGAAUGGACCUGAUAGGUUAUAAGUGAUGGUGACCUUUACUAGGAGGAUCCUUACCUCUGAAUGGAAUACCACUAACAUUAUAUUACUGGCAUGGUUUUUUAUUGGACACCUUUAUAUGUCUUAAUAUAUGUCUACUCUAUAGUCCUCGUAUGAUCAACAACCUAGAGAAAAGUAGACCCAACUAAUAUUAAAUUCUCCAACUCUAAGAGGAGAGGUAAAGUCUACCCUCUGAUAUCAAAUUCUAUAACUCCAAGCAGAUAGGUAAAGUCAACUCUCUGAUAAUAUAUGCACCAUCUCAUGAUUUGUAGGAAAUAACAUAGGAGUAUGUCUGGCCUACUCAAGAAAUACAGUUACAUACUCUAAAACUAAUAGAGUUAUGGUGAACACCAAUAGAUCCAACUAUGGCCUAAGAACCAAUCAAUGUAUUGGGCAACACCACUGACUGUGAAGGGUCCUCAAAAAGACUUGAAAUACCUAACACUGUAUCCUGAAAAGAUAAGGCAAUCACAAAAUCUGUUAGAGCUUGGUCUAUCCCCAAAUCCAUUGGAUGACACUGAAAAUUCUUGAUACCAAUAUCUAUCUCCCUAGCCUAACUCAGAGCUGAAACUCUUAUAACAAGGGAAGAAUUUUUAUCUGCAUUUGUCGACAACCUCAUGCUAUCCAUCUGAGGAAGAUUCUAAUCAAAAGAGGUAGUUAGAAGUUUAUGGAAAUAUAGAAACACGAUAAGGAGUAAAGAAUUUAGAUUUCCUAUAAAUGCCCAAUAGCUUCCAAAUGAUUGGAUACAUACAAAUCUGUACCAAUCUGCAGGACUCUACUAAGCACUUUGCUCUUAUGGAAACAACACCGGUGAACCUAGGCUCAGAUACUAAAAUUGUCACAACCCAAUUUCUCAUGUCAUGAUGACACCUACCAUAACCCACCAAUAGAUAAUACAACCCAUAAUUCAGAAUAAUUAGUAACAAACUAUCAGUAGAAAAAAAGAAAAUAGUGGAACAAGAAUCCAAUAAAGAGACUAAUAUAGAGAAGUAACCUACAAACCUGUUGAUUCCAGUAUAAGAACUCAUAACAAACAAGAGUACAAGGUAAGUAUAAUAUAUAUAUAUACACACACACAUAAAACUAUCUCCAGAAAUGCAAAAUAAUGAUUAAUCCAACAACUAAAGAAGAGUUGGAACAACUUUUAAUGUAGGAGCUCACCGUAAAUCUCUGAUCCAUAGUAGCUCAACACGAUGCAUAUAUAAACAAUGAGAACUCAUACUAUAAUCUGUAGAGUGCAAAAGUUUAGUAUGAUUACCAACAUGUGGUACUUAGUAGGCAUUGACUGACGAGCUCCAAAAAUAAUGCAAGUAUAAAUAAUAUGUAAAGUAGGAAUAUACAUUACAGAUAACUAUUUAACAAAUAACACAUAUUAAUACUAAUGGAAAAAUAAUAAUAAACUAUAAUACCGAUAAGUAAUUUGGGCUGAAGGUGCAACACCGUACAUAACUAGUUAAUAUGCAAACAAAGAGUAAAAGAAGGAUAUAUAGUAGUAGUAUAAGUAAAGAAGGUAAUACACAAUAAGAAUAGAUAAGGAAAAAAAAGAGCAUACCAUGAAAUUAUGAAUGAAACUAAACAUAAAGGUACUAACUUGAGGGAGAUAGCCUAAUAUCUCAAGGAUUAUAACUAAAUAGGAGAACUAACUCUAGCAUAAUCAAGGUCUAUAAUCGAAAUAAGAAACUUCAUAAGGAAGUCUACUACUAAUAAAUCUCAACAUAAUGAAGAGGAAAGGAACUCGAAAGCGUACCUAAAACCUCGGAUACCAAUCCAUAACUAACCUACCACAAACUACACAAUAAUAGACAAAUAAUAUUAUAAUCGGCUAGUCGAAACAAACAAUAACCUAACUGAGCCCCCAUAAGCCUAAAAGGUACAAACAAACACUCAGCAGACACCAACCAUAACCUAUACCAAUACAACUACUAAUAAGACCAAUAGAUACAAAUACCAAAUAAUUAUACAGUGAUAGGCAAUACACAUAAACAAACAAAUACAAUAUAAACCAAUACUACCAUAUUGACUGAGUGUUAAACCAUAACAAGUAGAUACACCCCCUUUAGCUCAUCGACCCGCAAGGCAGUACCUAUGGAUAUCACCUUAUUUGUACGUGGUCCCCAAAUAGAGAAAUUUAUAGGGGACUCAAGAUAUCUAUAUAUACUUUUAGUUAUAAAAUAGGACUUAAAAUAACCAUCAUAACAAAUCUACUCCAUCAAGUACAAAAGAGAAUUGUACGUAUAAUCAGUUCUCAAACUCAAAUUGAGGCUAAUUAAGUGUAUAUCCAUAAAAUACUUGUGCUCGUGAUUAAAGCUAAAAUAAAAUAAUAUGAUAAUUUAGAAAGGGGAGGGAUAUCCCUCGAUCAACAUGAAUAAGUAAUGAUAAAAGAGUGCAUCAAGGCUGGAUUGAAGUCUGUCUUGGUCCAAGAUUUCAAAUUAGUAAGUUUAGUUUAAAGAGCCAUAACCCAACAAUGAAAGUGGUAUGACUUCUAUUUAAUGAUCCAAUUUUAAGGUCAAAAUUGGGAAUAAAUCCUUGUAUAGAAAAAAGUAGUAAGAUCAAUGCUUUAAUUGGAAUCGUACCUGUAGCACUUUGUAUUUUUGUGGUAGAAUUCCAACCAUUGUUCUCACAUGUAUAAGCCCAAAUACAAAUGAUUCCCAUUUGAAUAUAAGUUUCAUGAUAUUUAUACUAGUGUGCAAAGAGAUCUCGAGGUGAAAAAUGUUCAUAGGAAUCACUUAGAACAAAGUUGAGCUAAGAACCUUCGAUUUAUCCAUAGUUUGGUAUUUGAUUUUACAAGGAUCUACUUUGAAUGUGCAUAAAUUUUUAUGUACAUGGAAUUUUUCAUCUCAAGACCCACUAAAUUGUAGAUAAUAGAAUUAUCUUUCCAAUAAUACCAAUUUUGCCUUAAUCCGACACCCGAGCAAAAAGUUAUGGAUUUGCAAAGGGGUGUGCGUCACCUAAAAAUCAUAAACUUUAAUGGAAAGGGUUUGCCAUAGGGAGUGCAAUGUAAAAUGUAAAUUCUGACAUAGGGAGUGCGACGCAAACCUUAAAGUUUGCCAUAGCUUGUGCAAUGCAAACCCCAUGGCAUAAUGACCUAGACAUUUUGUUUUUAAGUUAUUUCGAGGGAAACUAAGUUAUUUGACACCUCUUAAAUGUCCCUAAACAUAACUACAUGUGAUUUAUAGAUACUAAAUAUGUUUUAACCCUAUUAGCAUCAUAAGUUCAUCAUCUAAGAACACAAGAGGAGAGAAAAAACUAGGGUUUAAACAAUCUCGCUUGAUUGUCCAAUCUUUCCGUAAUUUCGUCAUCAUUAAGGUAUGUUGGGUUUAUGAACAAGGAUACCCUUUCAUCCUUGUACCCAAAAAUUGAUCUUUAUUUAAUAUUUCAUAUUUUGUAAAUUAAUGUUCAUAUCUAAUUAUUAUUAUUUGAAGAUUAUGAUGUUACAAGUGACUUAAAUGUUGAAUUGCAUGUCUAUUUUCACAUAUUUAUACGUGUGAUAUGAUUUUAUAGAUUUCUAAUUAAAUUUUAAUCAUGAAAUUAUCAUUUUGAUUUUAUUACCUUGAUAUUGUUACAGUAUUCCAAGAAGUAUAUUGAGCAUGAUGCUAUGACAUGAAUUUGCAUGAGUUUAAAAGCAUGGGUUUUAAAGCCCUAAGUUUAAGUAUUGAUAUCUAAUCAAGAUUAUGAUUUUGAGCCCUUUUACAAAUUGUUUACUAAGAUUUAAGAAAGAAAGUUGAUCUUUUGAUCCUAAUCUAAGAAAAGGAUUCCACAUUGUUCGUGUAGUUUGAGAUUUAAGGAAGAGAAGCAUAAUUGGUUUUCAUUACAAAUCCUUGUUCCAUUUUAAGGUGGAUUUCCUAAAGUUCUGAGCAAAAGAUUGGGAGUAGUAUUUAGCAUCGAGUUGGAUAUGAUUCCAAGGUCUCGUUCCCCAGAACUACGUGCGAACAUAUAAUUAAGUUUAAAGUGGCCAUAGUAGGCUAAGAUUGUGAUCACUAAUAUAAGGUUAUACUCCUUGGCAAGAGUCUAACACCUCUCCCCAAUGUAAGGUUUUCCCCUUAGAUGAACAUGAUGUUGGACUCCAUGAUGACUCAUAUGGUAUAUGUCGGUUAAAAGAACCUCCCAAAGUCCCUAACUCUUAAAUGAAAAUGUCAGAAUAGUUUUGAGAAAACUAAGUGUAAUGGCUCACAAAUUUACUUAGUUAUUAUUUUACUUAAGACUAUAGUUAUCAGAUUUCAGCUUUAAGUUUUAAGUUUUAAGAUUUAGUAAACAUGAGCACUUUUUACUUAGCCUGCAUGAUUUGAAAGGCAGAACAAGAGUACAAUUCAUUAGAACUAAAUGCGGUGGCUCACACGAAUUUCUUUAUGCCUUAUUACUCAUGUCAUAUGAUUUAUUAGUUUUUAUUAUUCAAGCCAAGGUAAGUCACUCACAUUUAGCAUGCAGUUUUGAAAGUUUAUUUGAAUUAUUGCAUUAUUAUUUUACUUAUGCAUUCAUCCCCAUAUGCUUAGUAUAUUCCAAAAGUACUAAUCUAUAUAUAUGUCUAUAUGCUACAUUUUUUCAUAAUAUAGGUACCAGUUAUAGCACACAUUAUAAUCAGAUAGCUUGCAGCUUCCAGUCAGCAGAUGAUGGGUUCUUUUAAUUCAAGGACUCGAGUUAACUUUAGUUUGAGUAGUAUCUUAUUUUAUUUAUUCAGUCGUAUUGACUUGGGAUAGUUGGGGGUCAUAUCUCGACUAUCUAUAAUUAAUACUAGUAGAGGUUUCAUGGACAUUCAGUAGAGUUGAUAUAUUAGAUUCCAGUCUUGUUUUAUAUAAUCA
rnacentral:lncRNA from 1 species